AUUCCCUGCAUCUCUACUGAUUUUUACUCCUCCCCAACCUUGAAAACUAAAAAAAUAAAGAAAAUAAAAAACAAUUGAUAACCAAGAAACAUGAAAAGAGAAAGAGCUUUUGAAAUUCAUCUACAUAUUAAUUAAAUGUCCAAUUUUUGUAGAAUGGUUCAAAAGAAUAUAUAUAUAUAUAUAUAUAUAUAUAUAUAUAUAUAUUAAUUUUUGUUACAAGACAUUCGAUUGAAGAAAGUAUUGGAUGCAUUAUUGUCAAAGAAACUUGAACUGCUUUUAAGAAAUUAUCAAACUAAUAUAUUUAAAUUUCAACUUGGCCUAUAAGAUACAAGCUAAAUGAACGAUUAACCAAUUUGUAUUUGGACUAAAAGUAUAAAGGUGAAGACAAAUUAGAACAAUAACUCAACAUACAAGUAAAAAAAAAGGUGAACGUCUACUUAGAAAUGGAGUCCAUCGACAAAACUUUAUUAGUCACUUAUCGAAUAAAACUUUCAGCACUUAUCGGUUAGUUGCAGGGCCAUAGAGUAGGGUCUCAUUAUUGGCCAUUAUAUUUCUCGCUAGGUUAGGUAAUCUAAUUCAUUAAAAUCAAACUAAUAAAUAUAAAAUACAAAACGUCAUUUACUAUUGACAAGACAAACAAGCAUAACAUACAAAAAGUUACUGUCUGUUUACUUAGCAAAUGAUUAGUCAGUAAUGAUUUGAUAACCCACAUGUUAUCACCACUGUUUAUACAAACUCUAUUUCAUAUCUGCGCUCACAACGAAACAGAGAGAAGGCAGUUUAGUUAGUUUAUCUACCUACCAACCAACCCUCCAUCCAUUAACAGUUUCAAUUUACAAAGGCAACAAAAGUGAAAAGACAAACGCUUAGCAGUGCAACUUGAUUACAUGAGCUACCCUCUGGAAGAAAAGAGGGCACAUGCCAGUGCUGAACUUAAUCACAUCCCUCAUCCACUCCGGCGCCACUCUCUCAAAUGUCCCUAAUGACAAUACCCUGUACACCAACUCUGCUUCUUCUCCGCCAGCUUUGUUUAUCCAUGUUAGACUGAAUGAGUAACCUGUUUUAUUUAUCCACAAUAAUAAUAAAAACCAAUUAGUUUUGAAAUGAUUCUUCAAUAGCUAUCACAAAUCUGAUACUCGAAAUUUUAUGGAUUCAGUAUGAUGCUUAAGUAAAGAAUUACCACUUGGUUGAUGCAGAGCUGAAAUGCAUAGUCCGCCAGUUUGAUUAUUAGUGGAUAUUUUCAUGUCCAGUAAGCACUCAGUAAGAGCUUGAAAAAGACAAGUAGCUCUAGCAGUGACUGUGGCACUUGCAUCUGGACUGCCUUUACAGCAUUCUGGCUGGCAUAGUCAUCCAAAACAAUCAGUACAGAACACACAUGUAGAAGCUAACAGCUUUUGAGUAAAAAGAUAAUAGAUUGAGAUGAUACCAGCUGAAAAUGUGUAAGAUCCUCACGAGACAAAGCUUUCUCAGACAAGUCUUCUGCCAAUGCAUUAGUCAUGGCAACAUUGCAGUUAGUUGAAACAGAAGUAAUAAUAUUGUCAUUUGUCUCAGCAGCAGAUUCCCUGCUACACUUACUCGUCAUCAUUCCAAUGGACCUUCCAGAAACCUUUUCAGAUGAAACUUGUGCAAUUCUAGCAGAAACUGUUGGUAUAAUAUCUAGUUUGCCAUCUUUAUUUUGUCCCUCAUGGUGCAGAUUUUGCAGCCUGCUAACUUCUAGAGAAAGUGCUUUAUCUGCCAUAAAUUUUAGACUUCAGUAAGAAAGACCUAAACAAAUGCUUAAUAGGCAGCACAAGAAAGUUAAAAGGUUUAAUAAAGGCAACACAUUAGAAGUCUGGUGCACAAGUCACUAAAAUCUUGCCAUAGACUAGAGGCGGCUAUAAGAUGGAUCACUUAAAUUUUGCAACCUUUCAGCUGAUAAUUACUCGAUUCUGAUUAUUUUACAAGCAUUAUGUAAAUUAUUAAGAUGCCUUUGUUAGCAGGAUGUGAUCCAAAAGAGCAGUGUUAUAUACAUAGACUUAACCACUUCAAUUCAUUUUCUACUCAGGUAAAAACUAGAGCAUAGAAAACCAUAUCCAACCAAAACUAUAGUUUUAUUUCCUGUAGUCAUUUAAAGUGAUAAGAUUUUUUUUUCUAGUUCUUGCCUAGAAGACUUAAUACCCUCAGCAUCAAUUAAUGCCAGUUUUCUGGCAAUAGCAUGACUGAGUUCCUAUAUUCUGAUAUUCAACAAAGAUGAAGCAGAAACAACACCAAGUAAGUCAAGGAUGUUGAUACCAUUAUAUUAUAUUCUACACUGGAUGAAAGAGAUAUAAAACAAUAAUCAUCAUAUAAUCAAUAGCUUCUUACACUUCUGAUUCUCUUCAAUCAAAAGCUUUUGGUAGUCUGCACACUGUUUAUCCAUGCUGGACCUUCAAUGAUACUUACAUUUUAAAAUCCAAGAAAGAAAAACUUAUAUCUUACCAUAAAGGCCAAAUGAGAAACUUAAAAUUGCAUACAUUUUAGAGGCCACUUCACUUUUCAAUUCAUUAACUUCUGCAUACAGCUUGUCAUUUUCACUCUUCAGAUGCUGAAUCAAUUCCUCUGCAGCUGCAACAGAAGAAUACAAUCCAUUAAGAAUUUUAGAGGGAUUUAUAUGAUUGCUCAAUUUUUUUCAACUACUAAUGAAACUACUAUCAAAAUUUUCAAGGUAACAAAGAACUUCUGUUCAAGUUUUGUUCAUUUAAUUAGUAACCAGUUCAAACAAGCAUUUCACCAAAACAAACUUGAACUCUUUGCAAGCUCUUUUGUUCAUUCUAGCCUACUCACAUUCAUGGUUAUAAUCAAAUUAUUGCUUCAAUACACAAGAUUGAAUGUUAUUUGUUCUUCACAUAUAGAGCUUGGACCUUAAAUAUUGGUUCAACAAUCAGAACAAGCUUAUGUAUCACUAUCUAGUAGUUGUUGUUUUUACUACCAUCAGCAAAUUAAAUUUCAAAAUGCUAAAACCACAAAAUACCUUCCAACAAAUAAGAGAUGGCAUGACAACCACACAUGAGGAAGGGUGACAAACAACAAACCCAGUACUUGUGUGUGACAUAUAUUCAGACAUGGGUAUAAGCGUAUGACCCUCCAAAUAUAUAGAAAACAUUGAGUAUACCAUGAUGAACAGUCACUUGCAAAUCCAAGUAACAUAGGUCAGUACAUCCUGUUUCUAUUUUCAUAGCUUUUCAUCACACUGUACCACCAUCUCACUACCUACCUAUAAAAUAAUUAGUAAAUGAAAUCAGACAAACCAUUAACACUGAUCAACAAGACAAAAUGGUUUUGAAUUAGAUAAUUCAUUAUUUGUUUACCUUCCUUUCAUUAGACAGGUCAAAACACAAACUUAUGUUUAACGAAAGAGCCAAAGAGAAGUGAUAUUAGUUAUUUUUCUAUGAUAUAUAUACAACAUAUAACAUGUCUAACAAACAUAGAAGAGGAAAAGAAAAACUAAGGUAAGAGUAAGACUUUGCAAUUCACGUAAAAUAUGAAAAUAGGGAUUUAACAAUAACAUGAAGCUACACUUACCACGCACAUAAUUCACAAAUUUCUCUUCUUGAUCUCGAUUUAUGUCAUCCAUUUCGGAAAGUUUUCUCUUCUGAAAAAAAAAAAAAGAAACGAAGAGAAAAAAACAUUUAUGGAAAGAUAAAAGCCACGUUUCAUAAUCAAACAGAUGGGGAAAAAUCGCCAGUUCCAUUUUAACCGAACUAAGAUAACAUUGUAUGCACCUUGCAACUGAAUUACCACUCGAUACAAGUGCCUAAUGCGAAAAAAAAAAGAAGAAAACUUUUAAACGUUUCGCUUUUUUUCUUUAGUCCUACUGGCAACCGAACUUAUAAACAAAGAAAUGGUAUGAUAGAUCUAUAAAGUAGGGAACAGAAGUGCAAAUCUAAAAGUAUAAUUAAAAAAGAAGAAGAAGAAGAAGAAAAAUUUAGGGUAAAAAAGAGCUGAGACCUUAAGCUUGUCAUAUUUGUCGUAAAGCUUUGCAUAUAAAGGCUCCAUCUGCGAAACAAAUAAAAAAUCCAGUUUAUUCGUAUAGGCAUAUUUAUUUAUGCAAAAUUAAGAUGAAAAUAAUUGUUGAAAUCCAUAAUUUUGGAAGUGAUUAAAUAAACCCACGUUUUAGUGUUAGAAAUCGACGAACACAAGAAAACGUUAUGGAAGAAGAAGGAAACAAAGCAAAAGGAAGUUAAAAAAGAAGCAGAAAUCGGGAACUGACCUGAUAAUUCACGGAUUAAAUGAUGAAGAUAAUAUAACAAAGUUGAUGAAAAUUUAAAAGAGUAAGACAGAAAUGGUUUUCUUGUAGCUCUGUUUGGUAGCCUAGAAAACGAGGGAAAAUGGAAUUUCAAAAAUGCAGGAAAGCAGUGACAGAAGAAGCGUCAAAGUGAAGAUGACGGUAAAGAAAAUGCAACGCUGGCGUUUACUUGUGUGGCACUGGCACUGAUUCUCUAAUUCCCAGGCUUGGAAUGAGCGAGCCCGUGGAGGCUUGGCCUUGGGCUUGGCCGGAUGAAAGCUAACUUAGACCCACCCAUAAAAUUAAAUAAUAAAAGUACUUAUUAUUUAACGCCUUAGAUAUUAAAAAAUUAUUAAUUAAUGAAUCAAACCGAACAAUUAUUUUUUCUCAAAAUUGUUUAUUUUUUGUAUUGUUUCUUGAAAUUAUUUUUAUGAAUAGGAUUCAUGCGUUGAAAUUUCAUUAUUAGUUCAAAAUUUCAGAACUAAAUAGUAAGACAAAUUUGAUGUUGAAAAAUAUAAUUUCAAGUAUUUGGAGAAUUUAUUCAAUAAAAAUCAAAUAUUAUGUAAGUCCGCAAUCUCGGAUCAAACUAUAGCAAAAUUCCUUCAAACAAAAUUGAUUACUAAUGCAAUGUUAGUUCAAGCCAAGACCAAGAAGAAAUAUAAAAAGCUAAUGGCUGAAAUGCUCAGCUUAAUGGAUUUUGAAUCAAAAGACGAUAAAUUCUCAAUGUCUUCAAUCAAAAUAGUAGAUCUUGUAGACGAUACCACCUUAACAUCUAUCACCAGAACAAAAAAAAUGAUGAUAAUUUUGUAAAGACAAGAGAUACAUGAAGGCAAAAACAAAAGAUGAACAUGGCAGGAGUGAUUUCUUGCCAAAAGCAACCAAUAAUCAAAAACAAAAAUGAAUAGUGAGAUUCCCUGUAAAAAUGUUGAAAUCAGAUAUCUGUAAAUUAUAAUAAUAAUUUAAAAAGUAGCUAUUAUGCAAUCUUUAUAAUAUUGUAAGGGAUUGAAUUCCCCAAAAAAUGUUGUAUGAAAAAGGAAUAUUAUUCCUUUUCUAUUAACAAUUUCAUAUGAAAAGAAUAAUAUUCUUAUUUCAUACUCUUAUUUUCCCGAUCGAAUUUGAAUUCUCAUAACCACGAGAUGUUUUUGUAGCAACAAAGGCAUGAAAGGGUCUGAAAAUUAUAGUAUGGGAAUGGGAAUCAAUGAGCUAUGAAACACGUUCUUGUAAAUUUAUAUACUAAUUGAGCUUUAACACCAGCUUGAUUUAUUUUUAAAUCUAAUUAAAUUAAUAUUAGAUAGUAGUUACAUAUUUUUUAUAACAAAAAUCAAACUUUUCUCGACAUUAAAUUUUUUUUAUAAAUAUAAUAUAGAUAGAUACAGGGAAGGAAUGUCUCCAAAGAUUCUAUAUGUAUGUAUUAAGUUCUAGAAACCCCAAUGAGCGUGUUUAGGCCGAAGGGUCCCACAGAGAUACAUGUGCAAGGGUUUGGGUUGGGAGCUGCCAUUGACACCCAAUAAAUAGGCUUUGAUCAUCUUUUUGGCUUUUCUAAAUGGUGAACAUCAUCAUUAUCAUGCCUUUAAAAAGCUUCGCUGGAAAAGCACUGAAUUAUUAUCAUUUCUAUGGGGCCAAAAAAAAGAAACGAACACGCUCCGGAAAAAAAGUGCCCCAUUGAGGUGGUUUGUUUUCUCUUUAAUGUAAGGGGUUUUAAGUAGCUUUGGAAUAUUCUUGCUGAAGGUUGUUAGGGGCUGCUGGAAAAUUAGUAAGUUGAUAGUUUUAUUCAUUUCCAGCUGAUGGGUGUUUGUUUUGGGAUUGGGAGGCUAAGAAUUGGAGGAGUUGACCUGAAACGGCUAUCUCAAGUUGGCAUCUGAUUUGGGGAUGCUCUGGUUCUAGGCGGGGACUUGAAGGAGUUUUUGAAGUGGGGUUGCGGCUUUUUUGAAAGAUUCAUUGGGUUUUCUGUGAUUCACAUGUUGAAGAAGAAGCUACAUUUUGGUUACUUUUCAAGGUUUGACCUUACACUGGUGGUGUUUUUGGUGUGAGGGGUUGUGGUUUUAGGCUUUAAACAGUUAAAGCAAAACUGGGUUUUCGUUUUAGAUUUUGAAAGAGCCCAGUUUUAAGGCCACUUACUUGUGUAUUAGGUGUUCUUGUGUUUCAAUUUUGGUAUAGGGUUUAAAGCAUUUGUCGUCGGAGUUCUGCGAGAAAAUGGCAUGCAUGAAACUUGGAUCCAAAACUGAUGCAUUUAAAAGGCAAGGGCAGGCUUGGUAUGUGCCUGAUCUCUGCAAUUCAACUUCAUCUCCAUCUCUCUCUGCCUACAUAUCUUCUGUCUUUGACUAUUGUAAGAUUAUUAUUAUUUAUUUUCUUGUUUUGCUUCACUACGUUUUAAUGUCCACGUGGAUGUGUCAACUGUGCUUUUUUCCCCCGUUAUUUUAGCAUUUAGUUUAAGUUGUUAGAGAUACUUCUAUGUUUAAAUUUACAUCAUGCAUAUGGAUCAAUAGAAAUACUCGUAUAUGCAUAUUUUGGUUCUUGAUUUAAGCGACCAAGUUAUUUUUUGUUGUAAGAGAUACAUUUAACUAUUACCAUAUCCAUUUCCUAUGUUACACGGCCUCUAGUACCCAUGUCCCACGCAUAUUCGAAUAUAGAUAAGGAGGUAUGAUCCUCCAAAUUUAUGAAAAAAUUAUGAUUCUGAAAAGGUUGAGCAUAUCCGUGUGAGACAUACCCGCUUCCAGUUGGGGUAACAUUGAUCCUAUCCUCCUUGUUCCCUAUGCUUACAUUAUGCAUUUAGUGAACUAUGAUAGAAUAAGUGACUUGGAAUAACUCUUGGAUUCUUCAUUACCCAUACCUGACACAUGGAUAUAAGGAUAUGACCUCUAAUGAUCCUUUAAAUACAUGGACAAGCUAUUCAGAUACCCAUGCCAGAUACAUAUGCAGAUCAGACAUUCACACCAGAGUCCGAGUGACAGAGGGGACAGUUUAAUAUCAGGUUUAGGUUAAUAGUACAAAGGAUAGAAAAUAUAAUUGCACCUUUUUGUUUUCCUUCCCAAAAGACCAUGUUCCUUUUCAGAAGUAAGUUACAAAUCUGACAUUUUUUUUAUCAAUAUUUGUUAACUACAUUGGAAUCAAGAAAAAUGAGAAUAUGGCAUUUAUUUCUUAUCAAUCCUAAGCAUUUGGAUGGAAAGGAAAUUUUUGAAAAAUUGGCGCAAUAAUGCCCAAUAAUUAUUCUUAUUAUUAUCUCAUACUCUCAUGUGUAUAACAGAGGAAAUCAUUUCAUAUUGCUGAACAUUUUUGUUAAGGAUGAACGAUUAAUGACUCUUCUCAAAUAAGAAUAUUUUAUAAUAUGGGACUAAACUUCUUGCAUCUCUCUGUGCUUGUGUGAGUCUUAUUGUAUUUCUCUUUAUAUUGAGCUUAAUAUGUAUGUGAUGCUUAUAGGUUCUGCACGACUGGACUUCCUAGUGAUAUUGUUGUUGAAGUUGGAGAAAUGUCCUUUCAUCUUCACAAGGUAAUUUUGCCUCAUCAUAUUUAGUACUUUCUUAUUGAUGUGCCUGAGGAGUAAUGACCCUCUUGUACUUGUUGAAAUUCACUGAAUUUAAUAUGUUUAUCAAAUCUUGAUGCAUAUUUUAUCACCUUAUGCAAAAAUAAAGAUAGGAAAUCCUUGCCAUGUCCCACACCAUCUUUCUGAGACCUCAUAUAUCAGUUUCUCAUGAGUUGAGAUGGUACUUUUCCUAUGUUUUCAUGCUUUUCCUUUUAAGGAUCUAUAAUGCAAGUCCUUUAAAUGAACUUGUACCUGUUGUCACAUGCAUGUUAAAAUGAAGUGUCUAUUGUCAAAUAACUAGUGAUCUUUAAGUUCCUAAUUGUCUUAACUUUCCUUUGGUGCAGUUCCCUUUACUCUCUAGAAGUGGGGUUAUGGAAAGAUUAAUUGCAGAAGCAUCUGAAGAAGGUGAAGAAAAGUGUUCCAUAUGCCUCCCUGACAUUCCUGGAGGGGCCAAAACUUUUGAACUUGUCGCCAAGUUCUGCUAUGGUGUGAAACUUGAACUCACUGCCUCAAAUGUUGUGUACCUUCGAAGUGCUGCUGAGCAUUUAGAAAUGACCGAGGAAUAUGGGGAAGGCAAUCUUAUUACCAAGACUGAAACCUUCCUUAAUCAAGUAGUCCUCCGAAAUUGGAAAGACUCCCUGAGAGCACUUCAAACCUGUGAUGAUAUUAUCUCUUAUGACGAUGGACUGAACGUUACAAAAAGGUGCAUCGAAUCAUUAGCCAUGAAGGCAUCUACCGACCCAAACCUUUCUGGGUGGCCCAUAAUGGAAUAUGGUGGUCCUAUGCAGAGUCCUGGUGGAAGUGUGUUGUGGAAUGGGAUAAGUACAGGGGCUAGAGUAAAAAAUACAAGUUCAGAUUGGUGGUAUGAGGAUGCAUCAACUUUAAGUUUUCCUCGCUAUAAGAGAUUGAUUGCAGUCAUGGAAUCUCGUGGUAUCAGACAGGAGAUCAUUGCUGGGUCUCUUACUUUUUAUGCAAAAAAGUAUCUACCUGGUUUGAACAGGUGCCAGGGUGCUACUGAUACUAAUUCUAGUACCUGUGUGGCACCUGUGGCCUUAGAGGCUCCUCCGUCAGAAGAAGAUCAGAAACUUUUGCUGGAGGAGAUUGAUAGGUUGCUUCCUAUUCAGAAAGGCCUUGUCCCCACCAACUUUCUCUUUGGACUGCUUCAAACAGCCUUAAUUCUUCAAGUAAGCCCCUCCUAUAUAUCUAACUUUGAGAAAAGGAUUGGAAUGCAGCUUGAUCAAGCAACACUGGAAGAUCUCCUGAUACCUAAUUUCUCCUGUUCUAUGGAAACACUAUAUAAUGUUGACUGUGUGCAGCAAAUUCUUGAACAUUUUCUUGCAAUGGACCAGAUCACGGGUGGAGCCUCUCCAUCUUUGGUUGAUGAUGGUCAGAUUACCGCCUCGCCUUCAUUAACACCAGUUACACUGGUAGCCAAGCUAAUUGAUGGGUACCUUGCAGAGGUUGCCUCUGAUGUUAAUUUGAAGCUCCCCAAGUUUCAGGCUCUUGCUGCUUCUGUUCCUGACUACGCCAGGCACUUGGAUGAUGGUCUGUAUCGUGCAGUAGACAUUUAUCUGAAGGUACCGUCCCUACUGCACACAUUUGCUACUUAUGUUGUUUCUUCAGUUUGAUAUGCUGUAAAUAUAGCUGCAACUGGUUCACUAAUCCAGGACCCUUGUCACAACUCUACCCAAAUGCAUCAUUCCUAUGCUUUAACCUCAAUUCAUGUUGACCUUAGAUUAGGAUUCACACAUUUUAAAGAGACAUAAGUUGUCAAUGCAGGAUGUUUAUGUCCUUGGAUCAUUGUUGUCAAUGCAGGAUAUUUAUGUCCUUGGUUCAUUGUCUGGGUAUCUGGCAUUUUAACAUGAUUACCUAAGUUGCUUCUCUCAUCUGCUUGAAACAAAGUUAAUGGGCCCAAAAAGCCAAAUCUUAUAUGCAUGGGUUAUAGGAAGAAGUUUGAUGAGAAGGCAAACACCAUAAUUUUUGUUCAAACUUGUUAACUUUCCUAUGCUAAUCAAACUUGCAGUCACACCCAUGGUUGUCUGAAUCUGAGAAAGAACAACUAUGCCAGCUGAUGGACUGCCAGAAGCUCUCCUUGGAAGCAUGCACCCAUGCUGCACAGAAUGAGAGACUGCCACUAAGAAUAGUUGUCCAAAUCCUGUUCUUUGAGCAGCUUCAGCUUAGGACUUCAAUCACAGGUUGCCUUUUGGUUUCCGAUAAUCUUGAUGGAUCUCGACAAAGCGGGCUUGCAGGGCCCACGGAAAGAGGCUGGGCCUCAACCGCGAGAGAAAAUCAGGUUUUGAAAGUAGGCAUGGAUAACAUGAGAACACGGGUUUCUGAGCUUGAGAAGGAAUGCUCGAACAUGAAACAAGAAAUCGAAAGGCUAGGUCGGGUAAAGAGCUUCACUUGGGGAAAUGUCUCGAAGAGAUUUGGAUUCAAAUUGAAGUCUCGAAUGUGCAGUGCUCAGGAGGGUUCUAUUAGCAACCAGAAUACUGAAAGUAGAAAGAAUGAGAAAUUAAAAGACAGGCAAGGACAACACAAGAAAAACUCAACUCCAAAAUUCAGAUAGGUAAAACUAUUGAUUUUCUCGUCUUUGUUAUCCUAUUGUCUCAUUGUUUGUUAAGUUCUUAUUGUUUUGUACUUUUAAACUUUGCUAAACUAACGUCCCUCCUUUGAUCUCACUGUAAUGUGUGCCUUACCUUUUUCUUGCUCCUUAAUCGUGUAAUCGAGAUGAUUGAAGAAACUGUAAUUUAAUUUGUUUCAGAUUAUGUAGCAACAUUGGGAUUCUGAUUAGUGAUUGGAUUUUUUUUCAUUAUAUAACAACUAAAUAUAAGAUCUCCCAUUUUCACUGCUGGAAUAGAAAACAUUACAAAUACUGAUAAGUUCGAUUCCGGAGGAAGUUCAUAAGUUUCUAUCACCAGAAGUGGCUUUAAGAGUAUAAUAAUAAUUAUAUACACUGUUAUUCAAGAUGUGAACCUAGAGUUUAGCAACAUAAAACAUACUAAAGAUGUUACAUAUAACCCCUUCCUUGAUCUCCACUGGUAAUGCAUGCAAGAAAUAAAUUAAAAGCGUUAAUGAGCAAAUCGAUUUGGAACCCAAACGAGGCUCUCUCUCAUGAGGAAAUGGCAAAUGGGGACUGAUCCUGGUUUUACUUUAAGAAGCAGAAAAGCGAUGUGGUUUGGGUUCCAAGCUGAUGUAUCUCUAUGGCAAACAGCUAAAGCAUUAGCUUUUGUUCCAUGUUUUCCAACCAAAGGAACCCUAUACACUGCUGUUUUAUCAAGUGAAUGACAUAGAAACACGGCGUAGGGAUAUUUCAUCUUAUGGCAAACUAUAUCUUUUUCUCCCAUCAGUAUCGUUCCCUCGUUAGCAACACUAAAAUCCUGGUUUUCAGUUUCUUUUUCCACCUCACUUGACAGCACUUGAAUAUCGUUCCCGAAUUUCCUAACACUUAAAUCCACCAACGACUCUAACGACGCCGCACAGUACAUGUCUUCCCCUUCAAUGACCCGUCUCUCGCACAUUGCAAUCGUUCGAUUCAUUGCCUUAGCUUCCCUUGAUUCAGGUUUCAGCGAAAAGAGCUUCAAAAUCCCCGGAAACUCGUCACUCGAAAAGGGUAUUGACUCUGCAACUCGACGAGACAAGAACGGAACCUCAUUCCUUGCCUUAGCCUUACUGAAAUAUUCUAGUUUCACCUUCUUACCAGGGUAUAGAUCAUUUUCGAAGAAAUACAUAGUUAUGUUGGUUCGGGAAAUAAUACUCCCACGUCCAAAUCCCAUGCUUGGAUCAGCGUUUCCAUAGUCGCCAUCAUUGAUUGAAUCUUCCUUCCUCGUAACAACCCAAGGUUUGUUUCCUACAUGGGAUAUAAUAUAAUUUUUAUCUCAAGCUAAUAUAUUUGAUGUAUUUAUUACCGAUGAAAUCAAAUGCAAUUGAAUUAAUGAACCUGCUGCUGGGUGUAAAAGACGAUGUUUCAAGGCUUUUGGCAUUGGGGUGUGAGGGAACACUGAUUUCCAGUGAACCUCAGCUGGUAGAUCAGCUGAAGCAUGGCUAACCCCACAUAAUGCAAGCUGCCAAAGUGUUAGAAGAAUUGCCAUUAGUUUAAACUAAGUAUAAAAAAUAAAAUAAAACAAAAGCAAAAGGCAUUGAGAAAUGAAGAGCUAGCAAAAACUACUAGUAAACUUUCUCUACUUACUAUGAGUAAAAUGAAGAUGAAAAAGAAAUUGAACUCCAUCCUAACUUAUUAAUAAUAUGUUAAGGAGAAAUGAUAACAGUGAUAAUGUAAUGGAAACUUUAUAAAGGAAGCGGGCUGCUUUGUGAUGAAACCAAAGUUUGUGAAAUUCCCAAAGUGGAGGUUUGGAUCCCUUCCAAUCCUAGAUGAAGUCAACUGUUGUUUGUCUCAUUGCAUCAAUGCAUUCUCACUUUAAAUUCAAUUUUGAUUGAAUAAAAAUUGUUUUUAAAUUUUUAUUUGUAAAUUUAGUGAGAUUUAAACCUAUAAACAAUAUCAUUAAAUUUAUUUAUGAAUUUUUUAAUAGAUCGGUAGAUUGAACUGAAAAUAGGUUGACCCACUGCCGAUUUUAAUUCCCAUGUCCACGACACGCCAUUCAAUCCUGUUAAAUCAUUAAUUAAAUAAGUUACUUUUGUCCAUAGCCAAAGUCAACACUGUCGGCAAGUUACAACUUUUCUUGUGGCACAACUUUUAUAAUAACACCAUUUCAUUUAUCUUUAAAAAAAGAUCUUGUAAUAUGACAGCAUUUUAAUUCAUUUAUUAUUUACGAUCAAUUAGAAUUUUAAAAAAUUCAGAUUUUGAAUCCUGUAGAGUGGGCAUUUUUUUACCCAAUCGUUAAAUGGGUUGCUCUCAUUGGACUACAGAUGGCUCCAAUGGAUCUGUUGCGCAUAUAUAUCAAGGUUCAAGUAUUUUUUUGCCAAUGUUCAUUCAUCCAACUUUCUAGUAAAAUUAAUUUCUUGUCGACAAUGAUAUAUUUUCACCAUGUGAAAUCCAUUGUUAUUCAUCGGUAGGAUGAAAGAGAGUACAAGUUUGCAACACAUAUGUAACAUGGAAUGUCUUUCCUUAAUAUAUUUUUAUUACAAAGUAUUGUAGGAUAUUCGUCUUGGAAAUUUUAAAAAAAAUUAUUUGAUGCUUUUUUUUUAUUUUUUUUAGAACAAAAUUUAUUUGGCGCUUAUGCAGCACUUUAAGGUGACAUUUUGGUUACAACGCUGCGCAUAGUUCAUUUCCGAACCCAGGCGAGGGUAUCUCUAACAGCAAAAUGGCAAAUGGGGACAGUUCCUGGCUUAACUUUAAGAAUCUCAAAGACAGGGUGAUUGGGGCUCCAAGCGGAUGUAUCUUUGUGGCAAAUAACUAAAGCUUUGGCUUUUGUCCCAUCCAUGCCCACCAGUGGAACUUUAUACACCACUGUACUGUCGAUUGAAUGGCAUAAGAACACAGCAUAUGGAUAGCUCAUUUUGUGGCAAACAAGCUCCUCUUCCCCCAUAUUUUGUAUUCCCCUUCCGAUGGUAAACACUGGGUUAUUAGUUUCUUUCGCAAGCUCGUUGGCUAGUAACUGGAUAUUUUUCCCAAGCUUUGAAACACUGGAAUCAACAAACGACUCGAACGAAGUGGCACAAAAUAUUUCUUCUCCACGCAGCCCUUCUCUUUCACAAACAUUAAUUGUUUGUUCCAUAUCAUUGGCUUCCAUUGAUUCGGGAUCCAGGGAGAAGAGAUUUAGAAUUUGAGGAAACUCGUUAUACGAAAAGGGUAUUGACCGAGCAACUUGUUGAGGCAAGAAGGUAGUCAAGUCCCACGUCUUGGCGAGUAGUGGUAAAUUCACCCUCUUACCAGGGUGCAGAUCCUCUUGGAAGAAGAACAUUGUUCCAUUUAUUGCAGCGCUCCCAUGUUUCUUGUUUCCUACAUAUGGUUUGCAAAGAGGUGAAAAUCAUGUUGGACUCAUUCAGUUGCAUCAAUUUACUAACUAGUUUAGAGAUAUUGAAUUCAAUUUUAAAACUGUUGGCUUAAACCAUAAUUUAUGGUGACGAUUUAUUAAGAAGAAGAUGAUGGAAAACAUGAAAAUAAUAUAUGCCAUGGAUUACAAACUGUUGGGUUUCAUAAAUAUAAACAUUUUAAAGAGUUUAUACCUUUAGAUUUCUCCCCAUAAAUUGUGAAGGGAGUGAUCCUUUGUUUUGAGCUCCUUGCUUGAACCUGUUAUUCACUUGAAACAACUUGAUUUAUUUUUUCCAACAAAAUAAUUUAUAUAUAACUUAUAUAAAGUUUAUAUGUGAAAAAAAAGAGUGAUAAAAUUGAAGCAUAGUCAAUUUUUCAAUCUUUUCUUUUCACUAAGAAAUGGGAUAAUGAAAAUAAAUCCACUAAAAUUAUUUUAUUUUUAUCCCGAAAUCUCCAACUUUACUAUUUAUUGUCAUUCAAGAUUUUACAUGAUGUAAGUGAACUUUUCAUAAAGAAAAUAUUUUAAAGAGUUUAUACCUUUAGAUUCUUUUCCAUAAAUGAUAAAGGGGUUAAUAGGAGCAUUCACGCCUUUUGAUUUUUUAUUUGUGCCAUCCUUAUUUUUGAGUUCCUUCCUUGAAGCUUCUGUUCAAAUAAAACAACUUAAUUUAAUUAUAGGUAGUAUUAGUUUCUCAAUUUUAUUUUUCUUCUCACUAAGCAAUGGAAUAGUAAAAACAAAUCAACCAAAAUUAUCAUUAAGCUUUUAAAUGAUGUGUCACUUGAACAUACUGUCAUAACUUUUAAACUAUUUUCACAAAAAAAAAAUACUUUUUAAAAUCUAUACCUUUUGAUUUUUUUCCGUAAAUUAUGAAAGGAUUGAUAGGAGCAUUCACGCCUUUAGGUUGUCUUUUUGUAUUCGUGUUCUCGUAAAUUAUGAAAGGGUUGAUAGGCGCAUCUUUAUCUUUGAACUCCUUGCUUGAAUCUCCUACUCACAUGAAACAACUUAAUUAAAUGUAUACCUCAUAAUGUAUUUAUGCACAUUUGCUUUAAAAAAUAAUAUAAAAAGGAAUUGGGAAUAAAGAAUCUAUACUUAUAAAGUUACAUAUAUUUUAUAUUUGAUGCGUUAAUAAUGUAUAUAUAAAUGGUAAGUGAAAUAGAUUUCAAUUCAUUAAAAAUGAAAAAAAAAAACAGUAAGAAUUUAAAAAAAAUUAAUUAGGUAAAGGGACAAAAAAUGGAGGAUUCAUUUUCAUAAAAAAAAAAUAUUAUGCCCAUUAACUCAACACAAUAAAUUUUGAAAUUAUGAAAAAGAAUUUAUAUUUAUAAAUCAAUAAAUAUUAGUUUUUAAAUUUUUAUUUUUAUAUAAAUCUUAAAAAAUAUAUACACAUAAUGAAAUUUGAGCUUAAGAUGUAAUAAUAUUCACUAUCUCAACUUUACAAUUCCAAUUAUAGUCAAUUUUAUAUAAUCUUUCUCUAAAUUUGUUACAUAUUUUUUUCUCUAAUAUCGUGAGUGUGUCAUAAUCUAGUAUAAACUUAUUAACAUAGAAUUAGGUUUUCCAUGUUUUGUGAGAGUAGUUAUGAAUUUUACAUUAUUUGAACUUGUAUGAAAUUUUUUUUUUAAGACGAAAUUGUCAGAUUGAGUAAGUAAAAAUAAACAAUAUUUUGCAAGUGGAAAUAGAUAGGAGUUGUUGAAACAUUUACCAUAAUCAUUAUCGAGAAGUAAUUAAUUAUGAAGAAAUGGAAUCGAAAACAAACCGGCAGGUGGUGGUAAAAUGUCUUUCAAAGCUUUGGGCAUGGGAGUGUUUGGAAACACAGAUAUCCAGUGAUCUUCCUCUGGCAACGUACCAUGCUUUCCUGCAAAGGCAAGCUGGAAUAUGGAAACCCAACAAUGUUUAAUUAAUGAACAAAAACCAUCACCCUUCACUUACAUGUGCUAACAUGCAAAUGAUUAUAGCUAUAGAUAAAGAAAUAAUUAAGGGGUCAAUUAAUUAGCGAAGGAUGCUAUUUUACGACUUACGUUAAGUAAAGAGAAAAUGAGAAGGAAAUGAAGAGUUGCCAUGAAAUGAAAUGAAAGCAUGGAUCCAACUGCAUAAGCAUCAUCAUCAUAUAUAGUUAACAAUCAUUGGAGUUUCCUCCCAUUCUUCCCAUAUAUUUCUAUGUAGAUACUAUUAAUUUUUUAUGGAUCUGAUGGAUCUGACUUCAACAAUAUUACUGUUUAAGUUUUGUUUUAAUUUUUAAUGAACCUAUCUACCUUUUACUCGGAGGCAUUGUUUUUACGUAAGUUAUGGUUUUCAGGUUGCCGAUCCUUUGACUUGGCAUUCGAUGCAAACAAAGCUAGUUUUUUUUUACGUAUUUGAUAAGCUAACCUUGGUUUUCAUGUUUUGUCUUAGGCAAGAUUAUUACGUUGCAAUUAAUGCAGCGGCUCAAAACAAGGUUAUAAUAUAAUGCAAGUGAUUUUGUAUUUUGACAUCCACGAAGUUUAAAGUGAUGCUAAAUUACUACAUAGAAAAAUUCAUUUCGACCCUCAAGUUUAAAAUAUUUAACUAAAAUAGCAAAGGUAUUCUAAACAUAACUUUUUAGGCAAACGCAUUUUUAAAAAAUAACUAUAACUUUUAUAGCAAUAACCCUAACAAGUAGCUUGUUUAUUAAAAUUAUAUUUUAAUCCUUUAAAACAAUAUUCUAUUAACAAUUUAACAUUUCUCAAGGGAUGGGUAUAUCAAGAUUUGGAUCUUGAUUUUUUUUUGACAAUUUGCAACGCCCAUAAUUGUGGCUUUGCGGACAACCAAUGUGAAAAGUAUGUAUAAAAAAGCUAUGACAGACUACAAAAAGUUUAAAUAGCAUAACUCUUUUCUUUUCUUUUCUUUUUAUUUGGAUUAAGGUAAGGAGAAGAAAACAAAAUUAAAGAAGGGAGAAAAGACAACAUUUUCAUUAUUUUUUAAAAUAUAAUGUUUUUUUAUAUUAUGCACAUCCGUUUUAUAAUCUAUUUUCAGGGUUUGUAGUUGCCUUUUCAACAAUGUUAUCUCUAGAAUUCAAACUUACAUUUUAUCCUUAAGAGUGUAAUCCGACUUACCAUUAUACCUAACUAAUAUUCCACAACAAUCUAGAUAAUUUCUAUAGGUGAAAUUCAUAUAUGAGACUAGACGUAGGGAUUGGCAACUGUAUGAAAAGUAGGGUAGGAGGGAGGUGCUAAUAUUUGUGUCUUUGUAUUGGUAUUGUGUUCGUAAUACUAGAGAUUCAUAUUUGGACAGAAUUAUUUGAGGUUUGUUUUUGCUGAUUAUGAUAUGUUUUCAGAUCCUAUGAAUCAUUUAUUAUUAUUUAUGUAAACUAGAUUUAGUUGAUGGUUUUACUUUUCAAAUGUUGCAGUACACUCUAAAAUCAUAAUUUUAAAAUAAAAAUAAUUAAGUAGUGUAUUUGUUAUCUAUUUUUAGGUUAAUUUACCUUCUACAUAUACUCAUCAUAAAUUAAUUUGUACUUAAUUCGUUGCAAUGCUAAGAUUGCUUCAUCUAUGCUGAUUUGUGUGUUUCUCUAUGAAUUAUGAAUAGCCAUAUCAAAAUGCAUAGACACUUGACAAAUUAUCAAACACUAAUAAAAGAAAUGUUGCGAAAUGACUAUCCAUACGAACUGCGAGCUCACCAAAUAUGCAAGCUCUACAAAACUGUGAGCUCAUUAAACCUAUGAGCUCUUCACUUUGCAAGUUGUCAACUUGUACUAAAACUGUGAUAAAUUUAGAUUAGACAUUUUGAUAGGUAAUUACACAGAAACCAACCAAUAAAAAAAAGUUAUAUGAAUCUAAUCAUUGAAUUAAAUCAAGUUGUAAUUAUUUUAUUAUUAUUUUCAACUUAUUUAAGGUUUAUGAUUUAUAUAAUCUUAGUAUCAACCUUUCAUGUUAAUAAAACAAUAGUUAAUCCUAUUUUCACUCAAUUUUUUAUUUGCUUUUGUUUUUCAUUCAAUCCUUCAUCAAAUAUCCAAGCAGAGAUGAAAUAUCCAAUACAUGCUUUAUAUAUACAUACACACACUCUUCAACUAGGCUUAUUUUAUAAGGCCCGCAGGUUCCUAGUUGAUGAGUUCAAACCCAUUUAAUGUGAUUCCAUAACCUUCAUUAUAACGUGUUUUGGUGAUAAUUAGGAAUUUUGGUUGGGAAUCCAAACAAGGGCGUCUCUUGAUAGAACAUGGCAGAUACGGAACAGUUCCUCGCUUUAACUUUGAGAGUCUCAAAAGCCAAGUGUUCAAGGCUCCAUGUAACAAUUCGUUUUUUAGUGGUGUCGAAAAUAGUAGUUUUGGAGCCACCAAAUCGAUAAGUAAGUCCGUAAAUAUUAUUAUUUAACAUGUACGAGUCAAAUGUGAUUUUUAAAAAAGUUUUUAAUUUGAUAAUUUAUGUUAUAUAAGUGAUUUAUUAAGUUCAAGAGGUUUUAGGAAAUAUAUAAACUAAGCCGUAAAUAUUUUUAUAAAUAUCUACAGAGUGUCAUUAAGGUGGUAUUAAAGUUUUUAAGAAAUUUAAACGUUUUGAUGGUUAAUUAAUUAAAAAGGAUCAAAUUAAAAAAAGUGUAUUUCCGGGACUCCGUUCCCAUAAAUCGGACUCGUAAAUAUUUUUACGAAGCUAAUUGUGUAGUUAAUUAGGUUUUGAUUAAGUGAAUUUUCUUGAAUUAAAUGUAAUUAGAUAUAAGGACUAAAUUGCAUAUAGAGUGAAAGUUCAAUUAUAGAUUAAAAAAAUUAAAGAAAUUAAAGAAGAAAUUAUGUCAUUGUACUCUUUAAUGAGAACGCAUAAGGUAAGAUAUUAAGUAUAUAUUAUAUUAUAAUUAUAUUAUAAUAAAACAAAAUAAAUAAAGAAUAAAUAAGAAAAGAAAGAUAGAUAGAAACUAAACAAAAAUAAAAAGAAAGAACGAAAGAAAGAAAAGAAAAAGGAAAGAAAGUAAGGAGAAAGCCACGGACUUAGGGGCUUCAAUUAUUUAAAGUUCAAUUUCUAACGUCGUACCGGAAUCCUCGACUAAAAAUUGGAAAGAUAAAGUUAACGAGGAAUAGCUCGGAAUUUCUGAUUUGUAUUUCUAUAUUCCGAAUUUAGUUGUUAAUUGUUAUUAUUCAAUUUAAUGUAUAUGGUAAGUGUUGAGGUGAGAAUUAUUGAGUUUUGCAAUUGAAAUGGAUUGAUUUAGUAUGUGACGAAUUUAUUGAAUUUACAUUGAUUGAAUUGGUAUAUAUAUUGAAUAUAUUGAUUAUUUGAAUUGAAAUAAAUAUUGGUUUUAUUUGAAAAGUGAAUUGAAACCCUAUUAAUUGUAUCGGGCUGAGUCGGAUAUAGAUGGCAUGCCAUAGGAUUGGAAGGGUUAAGGGAUUUCUUCGACUUUGAGUCGAUGAGACACUGGGUGUCAAUCUACUACUUCGGAUUAAUUCGAUGAGGCACUGGAUGUCAAUUUACUUCGGUUUAGUCGAUGAGACACUGGGUGUUAAUUUAUUACUUCAAAUUAUUCAAUGAAGCACUGGGUACCAAACUGGUGUGUUUUGGUUGGAUCCGUGUAUCCGUCUGAAUCCGAGUCGUGUUAAUAAGGGUAAAUGAAUAAUAAAAUUUUAUAAUUGAUAUUGAAAUAAUAUGGUAUGAGAAAUGGAAGUGAAAUAGUGUAUUGAAAAUAGAAUGUGAAAUAUGUUGCAAAUAUAUGGAAUAUAUGAGUUAUAUACUCAUGAAAUAACUAUGGAAUGGAUAUUGCAAUUGUAUAAUGAAAUGUGAAAUAAAUUGUGAAAAGCUAUUUAUAUAGCAAGUAUGAGAAUUAAGAUAUUUGUGAAAUAAAUGGAAUAUGAUAUGGUUGUUGUAAUAAUUUAAUAUUAAUAUGUGUUUAUAUUUCAGUUGUAUAUUUAUAAUUUCUUAUAUUUAAAUAUCCGGAUUAUAGAAAUACCACUGAGUUUAUACUUAACGUACGGUUUUGUUUCUCGAGCGCAAGUUAAGUAAUUAACUUUUAAUCGCUGAUUCAGCAUCCAACAACGAUCCCGAACUCAAACGUGGUGAUGUUUAUCCUUUUUGUCGGCAUGUACCUAGGGUAUCUAAAUAAUAGUUAUUUUGUGGUUUGAUUGUAAAUGAGAUUAUAAGUUUAAUUUUGGUUGGUUUUAUACAUAUAAAUAUGUGUUUGUUUUUGAAGUCAUAUUAUAGCAUGAUAAAUUGAACUAAAUCUAGAUAGGUACAUGUGAAUUUAAUUCUAUAUUUAAGUGCUCAUGAAUUAGGCAAUUUGAUUUGAAUUUGGUAUGUUUAUAAUUUGGAUUAAAAUGAUGCUUUGAUGACUUGUUUUGAUAACAUGAAAAUUUGAAAUUUCUAUUUGUUUAAUCUGUAAACUCCGCUAAUGUUCCGUAACCCGAUUCUGACAAGGGAUACGAGUUGGAGGUGUUACACUCCAAGCUGAACUAUCUUCGUGACAAAUAGCCAAUAUUGUAGCCCUUGUACCAUCUGCCCCAACUAAUGGAACCCUAUACACGUCUGUUUUAGCAAUUGAGUGGCAGAAGACACAGCAUAUGCAUAAUCCAUUUUGUGGCAAACAAUCUCCGAUUUUCCCAUCAAUUUCACCCCCUGAUCACCAAUACUAAACUCUGGGUUUUGCGUUUCUUUCUCCAACUCAGCUGACAAAAGCUGGAUGUCUUUCCCCAGCUUAGAAACACCGAAAUCCACGAAAGACUCCAAUGAUGUAGCGCAAAACUUCUCUUCUCCUUCAAUGGUUGGUGUUUCACAAUCCUCGAUUGUUUUUUUGAGUAUUUUGGAUUCUGCAGAUCUUGGUUGCACCGAGAAAUAUUUCAAGACUUGCGCAAACUUUUUAGUUGAAAAGGGAAUUGAGUCCGCAACUGGACGCGGUAAGAAAGCAGUUUUGCUGGCUUUACUGGUUAGCACCUUUAAGUUCAUCUUAGUACCAGGUCGAAGCUUACUCUCAAAAAAGAAAACGUCCUUAUUGGUUGCCAUAUUUCCAUCUCCAAACUCUUGCUUUGAAUUGCCUGCUGCGUUUUCAUAUAUCCUAUAAGCUGUGACGUAUCGUGGGAUUAAUAUUCCUUUAUACCUUUUGAUCAUAUUAGCCAAAGCAGCUUUCAUGUGAUUUCCUACAUCUCAUUUGCAGAGAGAUAUCUAGAGCAUUAGAAGACUUACCUGAAUUAUAUAUGUCUACUCAAUCAUUGGGGAAAAGAAAAGAAAAUUGCAAACAAACCAGCAGCAGCAGGGGGGAUUAAAAGAUUUUGCAAGGCUUUGGGCAUUGGAGUGUUUGGAAACACAGACGUCCAGUACAUCUCUGCUGGUAGAGCAACAUGUCUCGUUGCUCCAACAGCAAGCUGCAUCGAAAUUAAUUAAUUAAAUGCCCAUUUGCCUUGUAUCCAAAAUAAAAUUAUUAAGCUCUAAAUAUUUAUACAGAAGUUAGUACUCACAACAAGCGCCAUAGCGAAGAUUGGAACAUAACGAAAUUCCAUUGAUAGAAAAGCUAGAAAAAAGAAAAAAGGAAUGCAAUUGAAACUUAGAGUUGGACAUGCUGUUUAAGUAUUUAGGCAGCUGCUUUAUUUGUACUUGUAAAACAGCAGCGCCGGCUGUUUAUGUAUACUUAUAGUGGAAUGCGUAUAUGCACUUGUGAGCAAAGGUUAAAGCAGUAUUAUUGGGAUUUUAACUGCCUAUGUUGUAAUUGUUGCAUUACAUAUUUCAACAUCAUUUGGUAUUUUUUAUAGAAUAAACUUUAAUUGUAAUUACGGACUUUAGGUGAGUGUUCAUUGUUGUAAAGUUAGGUUGACUUUAGCCAAUAAUUGAUUCAAAUAAGUUGAUGAAUAAAAUCACUUGCUAAUGAGGGUCCAUAAAAUUAACAAAUCUGAACUAUAUCAACAAAUAUUUUAAGUUGAUUUUUCUCUUUGCUUCACUCUUUUUUUUUGAAUUUGUUAAUUAUACUCUCUUGUUUCAAUUUGUGUUACAGCAUUAGUUGAAAUAAUUUAUUUGAACAUCUACCACAAAAAAAAACCAAUUAAUUAAUAUUGUUUAUAUUUAUUGCAAGAGAUAACCAAUUAACAUAAAAAUUAUGAUAUUGUGUCGUAAAAAAAACCCCAUGAAACUACAAGAGACAGAAAUCAAAACAAAACCACGUGUCCAUUUUCAAGUUUCGUACCAUUUAUUUGUUCAGCUGCAUGGAGAUAUUUUGGUCCAAUAAUUGUUCGCAGUGCAGUAAUUUCAACGUCGACUCUCAUAAUAUUUCAUGGUAGACAUGGUGGCCAGCUAAGAAUGUUGAUGUUACCUUAGACGCCGUGGUUUUGGAUUGCAAUGUAUUAUUCAUCUUUUUACCGUUAGUGUUGUCCUUGUCGAGGGUGUGGCCGACAAUGGGAAAAAAUUAGCCGAAAUUAGGCCUUUUGAAGUGAUGAUUUUGGUUCUCCAGCAGUGCACUGACGUGUGAAGCUUUACCUCUCUCGUUUACGGUCAAAUUUGGCUUAAUUUUGAAUUCAGUGGGGGAUACGAAGAGAAACAGAAGAAACCAAAAAGAGAAUCACAAUAGGGGACGGACACUUUGAAAAAUGAAAAUUCAGCCAUGAAGACAAACAUCAAAGAAAAGUAAGGAGGAGUAGGUAAGGCAAGGAAAUAGCAUUCCAGUCCACAACCAAAGCAGCCUAUGAUCAAUAUCUGUUAGUAUUCAUGAGUGACAAACAAGGCGGCCGGGGGUCCUGAAAUCCAGUUGUAAGAUUACAGCCAGCCUUCAGCUGCACCACAAAAGCAGUCUAGAUCAGCUUCAAACGCAGCACUCAUCUCCACCACCUCCUAAGCUUACCACACCCCAAGGAUUACAGCUCUUGUCCAUAUUUAGACAUUAAGACAAGAUGCAAUUUACAUUUAGAAUAGAAUGAAAGACAGACUCACCAUCUCAAAAUUCAUCUUUAAUAAUGUUUUGCAAUUGCAUCAAACUUUGAACCUAUGAAAUCUGUUUUCAGCAUAAAAUUAAAUGGAUGAAAGCCACUGGUACAUCUUCUUCAGGCACUAGCUGGACAUACAGUAUCACGUCCACGUCUAUGUCGUCCAUUAUCCCAGUUUCAAGAUUCCAUUUGUUCAGCUUGGGGUAAAAUUUGAAGGACUGGCGGCCGCAUCAUGAUAUUUUGCUCCAAUAAUUGUUUGCAGUAAUUUUGACAAAUCUCAUAUAUAAUAUUUAUUUAGAAAGAAAAACUGUUAAAAAUGCCUCAAUAACGGGUGGACACAGUUAUGUGAUUGUUAGUGUCUGAUUUUGGGUCUAAUCUAGAACCAUUGUAUUGUAGAUAGGUUUUUGGGUCUUCAGUUGUGAUUUGUGAAGCACCGAAGUCUUCUAUCUUCCUUUAUGUAGUUAGUUUGUAAGCAUAGAUUAUCCGAUUUAAAAAAAGAAAAAAGAAAAAAAAGGGGGGGGAGGGAGAAAUUUCUAAAUUUUAGAAUUUUAAUUCAAUGAUAAUAAAAUAUUUCAUCUUCCUAUAUUAUAUUGUUUUGGUUUUUUUAAUGAUUUUAAAAAAAUAUAAACACAGUUGAGAUUGGUUUCAGCAUUUGAUAUUAUGAAUAUAAGACAUUGAAUACGAGUUGUGGGAAUUGAACUGACAUCGCCAAUCAUUCAGAUUUUCGUACGUAUCCCACUUGUUUUUUGGGCCAAUACUGUUUUAAUAUUUAUAAUAUUAUACAAACGGACAUCUUUAUUCUGUCCUCCGUAUUUUCUUGCUUUUUCUUUUUAAACUAUGAUUCUACUCUCUAUUAUUAUAUGGUAUUGCCUGAGUGGGGUUUUGUACUACCUGUGUGAUUGAUUUUUUCCAAAAAGGUGUGCUUGGUUUUAUGCUUGUAAUAAAACCAAAAAUAUUUUAAAUUUUAGGUAGAGAUAAUUAGGGGUAAUUAGGUGUAACAGCUCGUUUUCAGUGAAAUCAGAAUAGAGAUUUUGGGACUACAAAUUUGAGGCCGGAAGAAAUUUUAUUUUAAUAUUAUUUUAUGGUCUACAGUAUGAUAGAAAUAUCAUAUAAAAAUUUUGAUAAGAAAUUUUACCGAUUACAUGUUUAAUUUGAUGAAAAAGACCAAAUUGCACAAAGUGCAAAAGUUGAAUUCUAGUAGCUAAAGGUACCAAAUAGCUAUGGAAUUCAAAUUUGGAGGUCCUUAUAUGGCAAAUAGACCAUUUAGAGGAGUUAGUAGAUAAGGAUGAUUAUUCAUCAUUGAAAAAUUUAAUAAAGAAAGGGUUAAAUUGGAAAGAUGAUAAAAUAAAAGAUGAUAAAUGAAUUAAAUAAUAAAAUAGCAUCAUUUUCAUCAUCUUUCCUAAAAAUAAAACAUGGAAACCCUAGCUAUGAGAGCAUGAAGUUAGCAAGCUUAUUUUGCUUAAUUAGAUGAGUAUUCUUGUCCCAUUCUUAAUGAUUUUUAUGUUUCCGAGAUUGUAAUAGUUUAAUCUAGCUAUCUCGGGGAUUAAUUCGCAAAACUAUUGAAGUAUUAGGGUUUUGCCAUGGAUGAAUAUAGUUGAAUUAUGAUGUUUUAUAGUCGAAAAUGAAAGGUUGUUGAUAAAUAAACAACUUUUGUAAAGAGAAUUUUGAUGAAAUUAUGAUUUAGGGACUAAAUUGUAAAGAUGAAGAAUUCAUGGACAAAUUCUAAAUUUUAUUAAAUACACGGUCUUCUAUUGUGAUGUAUGAAAAUUGGCUAGGCUUGGAAUAAGGAUUAAAUUGUAUGAAUUUUAUUUUCCGAGCCUAGGACAAAACUAUAAUUAAUUAAAAGUAUAGGGGCAAAAUAGUAAUUUUGCCAAAGAUAUGUAUUGGACUGAAUUGAAUGUGAAUUGUAUUAAAUUGAGCUAAAUUCCUUCGUAUAUAUCCGGAUAUACCUGGUACGGAAUUGGAUAGAGGAAAAGAAAAAGUAUCAGAUUAGUAGCUUACAAUCCACGAACACUUGUCGAGGUAAGUUCAUGUAACUAAAUUGUAUGUUUAUAUUUUUAGAUUGAAUAUUAUGAUUGUGAAAUGUAUGAUUGUCAUGUAUUAACAUUGAUCACAUAUCCAAAAAAUAUCUGACAAGUACUAAGUCUCGUUUGAACCUAAGAAAUUCGAUGGAUACAAAUGACAUUGUCAUUAAGGGUUCCCGAAUUGGUUGUGGUCCUGCAUGUGUUGCGGACACACCAUCGCUCUUAUGAGCGUCCCAAUUCUUGGCUCUCAUGAGCUUCCCGUUAUUUAGCUCUUAUGAGCAUAUCGAUAUAUGGCUCUCAUAAGCUUCUCGAUUAGUGGCUCUUCGGAGCUUCCCAAUAUUGGUUUGCAUGAGCUUCCCAAAUUUAGCUCUCUUGAGCUUCCCAAUUAUGGCUCGUAUGAGCUUCCGGAUAAUUGGCUCGCAAAAGCUUCUCGUUACAUGGCUCACAUGAGCUUUCCGAUUACAUGCUCGCAUGGGCAUACCUGAAUAUGAAUUGACGGAUUACAAUUUGUACACUUCGGGUGUACUACCCGUGUAUCCAACGAUUUUUAAAUGGUUCAAUGAGCAAUGUUCUGUUAUAAGAAAAUGUGAAUCCAAUACGAACUGUUAUCAGUAUAUACAUGAAAUUACAUGAAAAUGAGAUUACAUGAUAUGUUGAAAAAUUAGAUGGAUGAUACAUGUAUGGAACUUGCUUGGUGACUAUGUUCAACCAUGUUUAUGGGUUAUUAUAUGUGUUUACAUGGCUAACAUGAUAAGGAUAUGUGUUUAGGCUUUUGGCCAAGUUGAUUUGGAUAUUUCUUGUAUGCUUACCUUAAAUGUUAUUAAAUGGUAAGUUAAUUUCUAUGUUAUACGAACUUACUAAGCAUUAAAUGAUUACUCUAGUUUAUUUCUCCUAUUUUAUAGUAACUCGGAAGCUCGUUAAGGUUAGAAGCUGGUUGGAGCCACAUCACACUAUCCAUCGGCCUUUUCGGUAUAUAUAGCAAACUAAUUUUGGUUAUAAUGGCAUGUAUAGGUUAAUUUGGCCAAAUGUUGGCAUGCAAAUGUCUUGUUGUGGUUAGCCAUUUGAAUGGCUUGUGCUUGAUAUAUUUUGAUAUGUAAGUAUAUGGCCUUAUCAUGAUUAAUGUGUGUUUUGAUAUGGUUGAAUGAUGGAUAAUUUAUAGGUAUGUUGAUGAUUGGGUUGAGCUAGUAUGUUUGAUAUAAAUAAGUAUACAUGUGAUUUUGGUCAAUUUGGUAAGUUGGAUAAUAAGGUAUAAGUAGAGAUAUGUUAAGAAUAAAACUUGAUUUAGGCUUGACUUGGGUGCUUUAUUAUGGUAUAUUGAUGUCCAAAAAUGUUUGAUUAGUUGAUGGCAAAUUUGGGGUGAGAAAUGUGGCUUGGAAAUGGCCUAUUUUCUUCUACACGGGCAGAGACACAGGCAUGUGUCUUAGCCGUGUGUGACACACAGCCAGGUGACACUGCCGUGUGUCCCUUGUAUUUUCACAUUUUGCAUAAGUCAGUAUACUUAGUAUUGUUCACACGGCCUAACACUUGGGCGUGUGGUUUGGUUGUGUGCCCCCUGCAUCUUUUAAAUUUCAAAACAAAAUACUCAAAUUGUUCACACGGCCUAGCACACGAGCAUGUGGCUUGCCCGUGUGACCUUUGCACCUUAUUAAUGCAAGUCAGUAUGCUCAUACGGCCUAGCACACAGGGGUGUGGCUUGGCCGUGUAACCUAAGUCAGAGAGCUCCUAAGUUUGGUCAUGGGCUAGGACACGGCCGUGUGUCCCUAAUUUGAAUGCCCACACGGCUUGAGACACGGGCAUGUCUCUUGACCGUGUGAGACACACGGGCGUGUGUCCCCUGCGCCCUUGAAAAUUUGUAAUGUUUCCUGAAAAAUUUUCUGAGCACCUGGUUUAGUCCCGACUUAUUUCUAACAUGUAUUUUGGGCAUCGAAGACUUACAUAAGGGACAAUAUGAUGGAUUUAGAUUAGUUUAUGAUAUGAACACUAUAUGACAUGAAAUGUCUGUUAUUUGUUCUGUAAACUCUGGUAAUACUACGUAACCCUGUUUCAGCGACGGAUACGAUUUAGGGGUGUUACAGUAGUUAUUUUUAUUUUUUUUAAAAAUUUCACAAUUAAUUAAAAUAUAAAUACAAAUAUAAGUUCAAACAACCACAAAAUGUAAAAUUAAAUUAUUACCGCACAAGCAUAUAAAUAAAUUAAAAAGUGAAAUAGUUUGAACUAAAAUGACUAACUAAAUUAAAACUCAUGUAUGACAAUCAGUCAUGGUCAAUUUCAAACCUAGAUACUCAAAAUCAAAAGUCUAUGUCUUUACCAAUUAUGCAAAGCUUUCAUUAGCUUAAAUUUAAAAAUUUAUUAUUAUUAAACCCAAGUUCUAAAUAUAAACUAGUCUGAUAAUCAUAUUUAUCAUUCCUAAAAAUAAAAGAAUUAUUUUAAAAGACUUAAUAUUAUUAAAUAUUUUAUGAAUAAAUUUAUAUAUAAUAAUAUAUUUUAUUAUUGAUUAAAUUUGGGUGUUUACUAUAAGAUACAUGGAAAAUUAGAUUUUAUUAUAGGAUGGAUGGAUUUGUUGUAUAUUUUAAUUAAAUUGCUUUUAUUUAUUUUAAAAUUUUUAUCAUAUUUUAAAGAUAAUAUGAUUAAUGUUAUGAAAUCAGUAAUACAAACGACAAGGUAUAGGAGAACACAAGAGAAAGAACAUAUUUUUAUUUUAAGUAUAAAUGAAAUAAAACCCUAGUCUUAAAGAUAUAUCAAACUUAUCAUCCGCAUAUAACAUGCUGGUCAAUCAAUCAUCUCACUCCAUCCAGAGAUCAUAGAUGGCAGACCUGGGACUCUAGUCAUUGAAUCCUUCGUGGUGGAUGUGCCCGAGGGAAACACAAAGGAUGAGACAUGCUACUUUGUUGAAGCUUUGAUCAAGUGCAAUCUCAAAUCUCUUGCAAAAGUUUCAGAAGGGCUAGCAGUGCAGGACCGGACAAAACCCAUUGAUCUUUGAAAGUCAGGGAGCUGACAGUUAUAAGGUGGUGGCCAUAGUUGCCAUGGAUGAAGCUUCGGGGCUUUCGUAUCUUCGGAGGCUUGAGAGAUGGACUGGCAAUUGUUGGUCUUCCAUCUGCUAGAUACAUUCACACUGCAUUCCAUCCAUUUGUUAUUGGUCUCUCCUUUGAUUUUAACAUUAUGUGCUGGAUUCCCUUUCUCUACUUGGUCAAAAACCACAAAUAUUAUAAAAGUUUCUUCAGUCGAACAAAAAGGGGAGUGGUUGCAGUUCAGCAGAACCAAAAUUUUGUUAUUUUGGGUAUAUAAUGGAUCGUCUAUAAUUGAGUUCAAAAGAGUUGGUUUUGGGGGGGGUUUGUCAUGAGGGUUGUAGCUUUUAGUUGCGGAUUUGGUCGAAGUUUAGAGGAAAAUGCUAUCGAUACAGACAGUUUAUUUGCUUCCUGCAGGCAUUCCCGUUGUGUCAUAAAAUGGCGUAAGAUCACUCUCUUUAAUGCUGUCCCUGCAUCUCGGCUUUAGGGUGAACAGAGGCGAUCAACUAGACAUAUGAAGCUCGUAAGUUAUUUGGAUUCGGUUUCACAAGAAUUGAAUUGGCUGCGUUCAUUUUUAUUUUUGAAAGGACAAGGAUAAACGUUUAUUAAUGAAUGAAAGCCCCAAGGUUACUAUGAGAUAAAUUAUUGUAUCACCAAAGCGACUAAACACAUAGACAUAGCAAUACUGACCAAACUAAGCGGCGGUUUUGCUAGCAGGUUUGCAUCUGUAUUAUUGAUUUGGCAUUUUUAUCUUGAUUUUGAUGAUAUCAACUUAAUAAUAAAAUAUUCAUAACAUUAUUCUUUAGAUGUCCAUUAUGGAAAAAAAAAAUCCUAAUCAAGGAAGAAAAAUAUACAUACCUAUAAUAUGUAUAACAUAUUGUCUCAUUAAAAACUAUAUUAGGAAAUCUCGAUUAAUUAUAUAUAAAUUCAAAUCAAUUCAUAUAAAUAUUUAUACAACUAUAUUGAAUAAUUUCUCAAGAAUUUUUGUAUGCUUCCAGCAUUCUAAAUCCUUCAAGUAUUUUAAUAUAAACUUCUACUAUAAAGUGAUUCAUAUAGAAAUUUAUAACAAAAGUUAUUAGACGCAUAUCAAAUCUUUCAUGAAGUGCCAAACUAAUAAUAUACUAAGGUUUAUAAUUUUGAAAAAAAUAUAUUUUCUCUUCUAUUUUCUAUUAUUAUUUAAAAAUUUUCACUUCACCAAACAAUGAAUCCGAAAGCAAAUUUGAUGUACCAAAACUAAACAUAUAUGAAAUAGAGCAUACUACAAUAAGUAACAUGUCAAGUACUGGAUUUGGAAAGCUUCAAUAGAAAGGAAGCAUUUUUCUUUUACAGAGUACCUUGAAGCAGGAGGUAGAAGAAACAUAAUUACAAGCAUAACAGAUUGAUUAGAUCCGGGAAGGGAUCAUAGGGAUGUUGUUCUGCAGGUACGCGCAGGCGGCAGCAACUCCACUGCCCAGCUUAACCGGAUAUCCGACAUCUUUGAGUAUCAUCUCCACACCGGCUAGACAACCCAACAAUUGCAACUGAAAUAGAUCAAAGCAAAAAAAUACGGAACAUUUGCUUUAGUAAUUGCUUCUAACAAGUUGCUAUUUAAUUUUAUCAAGUGAAAAUAUAUGGUAAUCAAGAGAUUAAAAGGAAAGGAGCAAUACUUGAUUCAGGAAUUACCUCAUUUAGGUUUCCAAGAUGUCCAAUUCUGAAUACCUUUCCGGCCACUUUGUUGAGGCCCAGACCUAAGCUCAUAUUGUAUCUCUUCCAUGCCCUUUUCACUAUUUCUGCACUAUCAAUAUAAGGGGGAACAAGGACAGCAGUCACAGUGUCACUGUACCAUUCCUCCUUUUGUGUGCAGUUCUUCAAGCCCCAUGCCUCCACAGCAAGCCUGUUUUUUAUAAUGUGCACCCAACAAAAAAUCAAUGUCGGUUAUGGCUUUGACCUCGUGAACUUGAGACAUAGAGGAAAGAAAAGAAUGGCUCACCUUGUUGCUUUGCCCAUACGGGUAUGCCUUGCAAUCACAUUGUCGAGUCCUUCCUCGAAUAUAAGAUCAAGAGCGGCUCUUAGCCCAUACAAUAGCUGGAUUGAAGGGGUGUAUGGCCAAAAUGUUCCCAGUUUGUAGAACUUGAGGUAGUCAUUCCAGUCGAAGAAAACUCUAACUGAUUUUGCACUUUUGGAUGCCUCCAAAGCUUUGGGGCUUGCACAAACAAUACCCAGUCCUGUGGGAAGAGAAAGUGCCUUCUGAGAACCGGUUAGUGCGACGUCUACUCCCCACUCAUCCAUACGAAAAUCAAGGGCACAAAUAGAGGAAACUCCAUCAACAAGAAGUAAUGCUGGGUGCCUAUAAUGAUCUAAGAAGAAACAAUAACUAUGUUUAGAAGUUGAAUACACAUAGCUUCGAUCAUAAAUAUUUGACAAUCUUUUUUUUUUCAUUCAUUUGAGCUUUGUAUCAGCUUUCACUACAAUAAAAGACAACAGCUCCAACACCAGUUGAAUACACAUCCACUACUUACCAAGUAAUUUUCUCACAGUAGCCAGGUUGUUGGUGACUCCGGUUGCAGUCUCAUUGUGAACAAUGCAAAUGGCCUUGAUUGUGUGGGAGUGAUCAGCUGCAAGUUUUUCUGCCAGAAUGUCAAGGUUAGCACCUUGACCCCACUCACUUUCAACAACGUCGACGUUGAAGUUGAGGCGUUGUUGUUGAUCAAUCCACAGCAGACUGAAUUGUCCAAUUAGAAAAGAUACAGUUCGAUCUCCAGGGGACAGGGUAUUAGUGAGUGCACUCUCCCAUGCACCAGUUCCUGACUUCAAACAGCAACAUUAUAUUCAUAAACCAAUACCAAACAAGUAAGAUACUACUUGUGAUUAAUGAUAUGAUUCAAAAAGGACAUCAUUGGCAAACAACACUUUUCAUAUGUUUUAGUUUUCAAGUCGGCUAAUCUUAACCUGAGAUGGAUAAAUGAAAACUUGUUAAAACAAGGAUUACCUGUAGUUGGAAUCAAAAAGGGAGUUCCAGUACUAGUCUUGAAAAUUUUCUUGACAUCUUCAAGAAGAUUUUUUGUCAUGGCAGGAAUGGCAGGGGAACGGUAAUCCUCAUUGUUCCUGUUCAUGGCUCGAAGAACUGGUUCCGGGAUGUUAACCGGCCCUGGAACAAAGAGAUGGUUCUUUCCUGGUCCGUACACAUAGUCCAUCUUUUCUCCCUCCAACAAAUAUCACUGAUCACUCUAAGCUUGCAACAUUAAAAACAAAACCACAAAUAAUAAAUUACUCUACAAUCCCAUACUUCAAACCCUAUAAUUACAUUAGACUGUAAUGUACAUUUAUGGAGUGCUUGGUUACUAACAGCACUCUACCACUCUUGAUUUCAUUACUCUAGCUAUUAAGGAAAUGCGCGGGGAGGGAAAACCAAAUAACCAAACAUCUAUUAGGAUACCAAAAAGAUGGGCUUCUUAUUAUAUCUUUUACCAUUAUUUUAAAUUUUAAGGCUUACAGGGACUUAAAUUGCAUUGUAGAUAUGUUCUUAGUUUAGUACGAUUUACAAGUUAUAAUAGAAUCAAAAUUUCUAUACACUUAUUCCUUCGAGAACUGAUUAAAGGAAACGACUUCCUUCGAGAACUGAUUAUUUCUGUUUCAAUCAAAUAGAAAAUAUAAAAAAGCAAAAGUAAGUAAUUGAUUGGUAAACAAACGGUGAUAAUAUUUCCCAGAACUUUCUCGAUUUCUAAGUAUAGAAACACCAACCCUUUUAUGAAGAUAUCUUUGCUCAUAAAUUUAUUGCUUCCAAAACUUAACUGAAACGUAAUCGUCAUGAUAUGUGAGCAAAAAAGAGAACUGAAACUAAUAAUAAAAACCAUAGCCAUACCUUUGGAAGAGAAGCUUCCAAUGAAAAAGGAUGAAGAGAAGAGUUGCAGGCUGCUGAUUGCCUUCGAAAAUAUAUUUGGAGUUUUAUAAGAGAGCGGGAGAAGCACUCAACGUAGGCGUGGCUCCUAAGUGGCAGAUAAGAGAGAAGGUAUUUGGAAUCUUGCGCCUGUCUAUCUUACUGACUUGGAAUGCAUCCACCUCUUGCCUUCCGUUUCCACACAAUUGUCUCUUUUAAAUAUUUAUUUGCUCUUUUUGUAUCUACGGUCCUCUAUUUUCGGGGGAAUUUUCUUCCCACCCCAUAAAAGCUUAAUCUUAUGCAUUUUUACACCCAUCAAUAGUUUUAUCAUUUCAAUUUGGUCAAUUAAUUUAUCUGAUUUAUUUGUAUAGUUAUACAUAUCAUCUUCUACUCUUAUAAAUAUUACUAUAUGUACAAGUAAUUUUAUCAAAAUAAUAAAAUUUGGAAAUUGAAGUGAUGAGUCUCUUUUGAUUAUUAUAAUUCAGUUUAGAGAACAUACCAACAAAAGACGAAAAACGAAUAUCAAUAUAUUUGUUCUCUUCUCUCUUUUCUUUUCUUUUUCUAUCAAAAACUGAGGGUACUUACAUAAAGCAUAUUUGUAUAUGAGAUGAUUAUCCUAAAUCUGAAAACCAGAAAUGGAAGGAAAAGGAGGGCGUAGCUAAGAAAAUGGAAAAUGAGAGUGGGAGUGUGAGAAACGUAGCAAAAAUUGAAGGACCGAAACGAAGCAAGGAAAAGGGGUGAAAGUGAGAUGGGGACUCAUGAGGUUGAGAAAGCAAUGCCAAGAGAUAACGUGAUAAAUUGCUCUGUCUCAAUUACACCACACAUCCCUUGUGUUUUUCUUUUAUCCCCUUACACUUUGAGGUUGCUUCUCCAAAAUUAAUAAGUAUCUCAAUGCCAAUUAAAUUAGAAUGUAAUCGUGAAACUUAAGUACUUCUAAAUGAUAUAUUUAUUUUCUUAUUAUUUUUAAAAAUAUAAAAUAUAUUUAACAUAAUAAUAUAUAAUAUAUAUUUAUUUUUUUUAUAAACAAAAAAUUAUUAAUUAAAAAUAAAAAAUUUGAAAACAUGUCUGUUAAUUAAAAACAUGAGAAUAACAUGUUUAUUUAUAAUAAUAAUAAUAACUAUUAAUUAAAAAUAAAAAACUUAAAACAACAUACUUUAGAAAUAAAAUAAAAGAGAAAACUCGAAUUUAAGUUAAAGAGUGAAAAGCACAAACGUGCUUAGUAUAAAAUGCUUUUCAGUUUUUUUUUCCUAAAUAUCAAUAAAAAUAACUUGCUUCCCUAAUUUUUUUUUAAAAAAAGUAGCAUUUAUCAUUAAUUUUGCCGAUCCUAUUAGUGAAACUUAGAAAAUUUCCUUUUUUUUUUUUUUCAUAAAUAUUCUAAUCUAAAUCAUGUUUGCCUCUAAGAUAGUGUGGCAUAAGUAAAAACAAAAGGCACCAAUCUAUAUAGAAUGCAAAAUUAUUGUUAACAAAUUGUAAGUUGUUAAGCAAAAAUCAGAAUUAAGAUAUAAGUUGUGAUCUAGGGUUGAAAAAUAGGUGAGAAGAAGUAACAACAGUUAACUAUAAAUUUCAUCUUCCAAAUUUCUAAAAUUGCAAGGUACCGACCAGAAAAAUAAGUAAUUCAAAGAAACAAAUGAAGGCAAGUCUGUUACUAACAAAAACCAGAAAUACAGUUAAACUUAGCUUCUUAUUAACUAAUAUUGGAUAAAUUAUUAUUUUAACAACUUCAAUUCAAUUUUAUCACUUGCAGAGGCAGAUUUAGGGGCUGGCACCAAUCCAUAAAAUAGAACUUUUGUUAUUUUGGCCUUUUUAAAAUUUUAAAAAUUUUAAAUUGAUAAAAGUAAAAUUGUACUUUGACAAGUUUAACACCUAGAAGAAUAUGUGUUACCUUUCCAAGUUUUCUAUAUUUUUAUUGUAAUUUUCCUAAGUUAUAUUAUUUCUUUUUUAUUUCAACAGAGUAGGAGGUGGGCAGCUCUAGAGAGGACAAAUUGUUUUCCAUUCCAAAUUUAUAAAAUCUCAAUUUAAUCUAAUGAUUAUUUUUUAAAAUCCUUCAAAAGUUAAAACCCAACUUUUAUCACUCUAAAAAAUAUAUAUUUUAAAAGGUUUAUAAAUUUUUACGUGGAUACAAUAAUAAAAUUAUAAUUUAACGUCUUUUGAUCUUUAAAAACAAUAUUUCUAACUUUAUAUUGAUCAUACAAAACCUUUAGAAGUGUGUCACACAUUUGGGAACUUUAGUAAGUAAUGGCAAGCUGCAUGAUCACUCAUGCAAGUGAUGUAUUUGGAUAUAUCUGCACCUGGUUGCAUCAUCAAUUGCACCACAAACCACAAUAAAUUGCAAACAAAGCGCAUCCAAUUGUUUUCUCUUUGUAUCUAUGACUUACCUUCCAACAGUGAUAAAUCUAAAGAUUUAUACCUAAAAAUAUUUGAAGUGGCUAAAGGUCUCAAAAUAUGUUUCUCGUGAUGUCUCAAGACACUAAUACAAAUAUUUUUAUAAUAUAUAUCUUAAAGCAAAAUUUUAAUUAUUUAUUGAAACUGAUUAAAUGACCACUCAUUGAAUAUAAAAAACAAAUUCAGUUCACCUAAAAUCAUUAAAUUAUUACAUAUUUUCUAUUAUAAUUUUAAUUAAUAAAUCUUGUAUAUAUAGUAUUUUCUUGUACUUUUUAAAGAUAAUAUUUGUACACGUUUUUUAAUAAUUUAUUCUAUGUAUUAUUGGUGCCUUAAAGUGAAUCAAAUAUCAAAUUUGAUUAACAAAUAAAAAAUACUAAUAAUAGAAAUAUAAAAUUAGAAAUCUUUUUACAUUUUUAUUAUAAAGGAAUCUUGUUUGGUUCAUAUAUAAAAAAGUAGUUAAAUUUUCACAUUUUACAAUCGAGGGAAUAAGAAUAAAUAGACAAAUAAGUUAAAAAAAACACACACACACACAAUCUCAAUUCAGGGUAACAAAUUUCUCUCACAAUUCAUUAUAGCAUAUUCGUGGGUGAAAAACAUGUAAAAAAUAUAUUUAAAACCUUAUGGAAAAGAAUAAACGAGGUUUUGAUUGAAAUAAUAAAUUUAAGACGUCAAGGAUAUUCGUAUUUUAAGUUCAAAUCUCAUUAUUUGAUGAUUUAUUAUUGAGUUUAAAUUAUUUUUAUGAAUUUUAUAUAAAAACAUAAAAAAAAAGAUAAAAAUACCCCAUAAUGAUAUUUGUUACUUGUUAAAUAGAUUAUUUUUUUAGUUAUUUUCUAACUUAAUUGGUGUCUGAUUGACUCGUGUAUAAACUAAAUUAAAUUAAAAUUGUUGAUUAAGAUUUAACUUUUCACUAAAAAAAUAAUUUAUUACUUUUACCGUAUUUAUUCUAAUUUUUAAUGAUAAAUUUAAAUAUAGUUUUUAUUUUAAUUAUGAGAUUAACUUUUAUUAAUGUAAUCUUAAAUAGGAGCGAAACCAAAAAAUUAUUUUAAGUCGUUAGAAAUGAAUAAUAAUUUUUUGAAGACCAAAGUGUAAUUUUAUUGUUAUAUUAAUUUAUAAAUUGAUAAAUUUUAAAAAGGAUUAUAUAAUAAAUUUAACAUUUGGAGAAGGAGACCAAGGCUACUGUUUGCCUUCAUCUUCAUCUCUAACCCUAAAAGUGUAUGAUGUCACACCACAACCUGUAGUUGUUAUACUGCACUCAUCCAAUCCUAUUCAAUUUCUACUCUCUUUUUUCCAAUUCUAAUUAAUUUGUCUUAAAAUAAAAAUAAUUAAAAAAACUAAAAAAUAUUUAAACUUAGAAACUUAACUUCAACCUUAAACUUCGAUCCUAAAUCAUGAAUCUAAAACUCUAAUUCUUAAUCAUGAAUGUUAAACUUUGAUCUUAAAGCUUGAACUCUAAACUUUUAACUUUUAACCAUAACUCAAAAAUAAAAAAAAAAUAUUUUACUGAAUUAUUUAAUACACAAUAUAAAAUUAAGUUUAAAAUUUAAUUAAGGAGAAUUAAUACAGUGAUAAAAAGAUGUAUGAUAUUUUAAAAGUACAGGAUGGGGCAUUUAUGUAUUAAUGGAAGCCUGAAAAAUAUGUUUUUUUUUUAACUUAUUAGAUUAUCACACAUUCAUGAAUGAAAAACUACAUAAUAAAGAUUUCAUUUUAAUAAUAUUAAUUUAUAUUUUUGAACAUAUCUUUUAGUACAAUAUACAAAUAAGAAAUUAUCAUAAAUUCAAAUUUCAUAUUAUUUAAUUAGAUGAAAUUGUUAAAAUAUAUUCCAUGGGCUUAAUUUGGUUUUGAGAAAUAGCAGCAGCUACUAAAAAGGUGCCGUUUUGGACAGGUGACAUUAGUCUUCGCCUUUAAUCUAUGUAAUUAGAAAGGAUAAAUAAAUGAAAAAUAUAAAAGGGAAAAGAAGAGAAAAGAAAACACAUGGAAAUAUUGAAAUUCUAAGCUCAUCUCAUCCCCCAAUUAGACCCAAAACAAACCACCUCUCUCUCUCUCUCCCAACGACCAAACCCUAAUCCAUUCCUAUUUAUUCAUCUCAAAAUUCUUUUCCGGUUGCUUUUAUUCGAGGCUUCUCUUCAGAUCUGUUCCACAUCAGGUCAGUUCUUUUUUUUUCCUUUUAAAUUUCAGUUUUAAUUUUUUUCCUGAUUUGAUAUACUUUUGCGGUGUCUUGGGGGGCAUUGGUUGAUAUUACUGCAUUCAUCUCCCUGUUAUCUUCUGGUCCGAUGGUUUUCUUUUUGGGGUAUGAAAUAAAAAAAAUUAUGUGUAAUUAAUGUAAUUUUUCUUAUUUUUUUUCUUGGGAAGAAUUGAAAGGAAAAAAGGGGCAAAAAAUCUGAUGGUGUAAAUGUAACACAAAAUAAAGCUUUGUUUUUUCUUUUUCGUUUCUUUUGUUUGAUUUUCACAAUAUUAUACGUACGAAGUUGAUGGGCUAAUAAGAGAGGGGCUGAUUUUCAUUCGCGUUCUCUUCGCUUUUUGAAUCUCUUCUUUUUUUAAAAAAUUUAUUUAAUGUAAUUAAAAAUCUGCAGAUAUUAAUUUUAAUUUUUUUUGGGCCUGCUAACUAUUUGCAAGAACAGAAACAAUGUAUGUGUUUGUUUGUUUGUUUGUUGGUAUACGAGUAUGAGGUAAAUAUUAGUUUUAGGAUGUUAAGGUAAGGGUGGAUUGAUCAGCUCUGGAAUUAUCUUUUCCAGCGAUUCUACAACAAUUUUCUAUUAUUGUUCAAGUAAUUAGGUGAGGAUAUCUAAGACAUGGUUUGGGAAGGAUUUUAACUUUUCGUAUGUUUUGGGACUGAAUGAAACUUCCAUUUGAGAGCUGAAGUAUGAGGGAAGUCAUACUGGAUUAGAGCUUAUAAUUGUACUUUUUAGAGCAUUUUUGCAUUUAGCCAGAGUUGACUCCAGCGUCUCUGAUUAUUUUUGUCUAUCUUGGUAAUAGGUUUUCACUUAAUGGUUGUAUAGAUAUUUUUUUCAUUUAGAUUGGCACUAUGAUUGUUUUCUUAUUUAUAUCUCGAGUGUUAGAAUUUUUAACUACAAGCAUCUAGUUAUCUGACUCUAGGGGUUCUAUUAAUUGGAGUUCUUUGCAGUUUGAUUAACAUAGAGACUCACUUUUGGAUGAUCAGAGUAUUCCCCCCGUUAUUUCUUACAGCUUAGUUGUAAUUGUUUGAAUUCACUUUAGGAAAUGAUACAUGGCUUAUUUUUUGUUGCUAAUGGUGUGUAAGUUCUGUAGGUUUAUUUCAUUUUGACGAAGUAUUUUAGAUGGAUGAUGAUAGUGCAGAUUGAUAAAAUGUCUGCUCCAUCCAGGGAGCAUGCACAGCGUCUUUAUGAAAAGGUAUUCUUUUUUUUUCCUUUAGGAAAUAAGGUUCCUUUGGAGGUUCUGAACUUAUGAAGUAAUAUUUGGUACUUUCUGCAGAAUGUAGAGUUGGAAAAUAAUCGUAGGAGAUCAGCUCAGGCACGGGUACCUUCAGAUCCCAGUGCCUGGCAGCAGAUGCGUGAGAACUAUGAGGCAAUAAUUCUUGAGGACCAUGCUUUUUCUGAGCAGCACAAUAUUGAAUAUGCUCUAUGGCAGUUACAUUACAAGCGGAUUGAGGAACUAAGGUCACAUCAUAGUGCUGCUUUAGCGUCUUCAGGAUCAAACACAUCUCAGGGUGUGCAAGUUCCUCCACGACCUGACAGGCUUACAAAAAUAAGACUGCAGUUUAAGACUUUCCUUUCAGAAGCAACAGGAUUUUAUCAUGAUCUGAUUUUGAAAAUCAGAGCAAAGUAUGGACUCCCAUUUGGGUAUUUUUCUGAUGAUUCAGAAAGCCAAAUUAUUAUGGGAAAAGAUGGGAAGAAAUCUGCCGAUAUAAAAAAGGGUUUGGUGUCUUGUCACCGUUGUUUAAUAUACUUGGGAGACUUAGCGCGGUACAAAGGACUAUACGGAGAUGGAAAUUCUAAAUCACGCGAGUAUGCAGCUGCUUCAAAUUACUACUUGCAAGCUGCAUCAAUUUGGCCAUCAAGUGGGAAUCCGCAUCAUCAGGUUUUUCCAUUUUCCUGGUUAAUAGAGUAUUCUUAACUUUUACGCCCUUAUAAUCUUUCUGCACUUGUUUUGUAUUUCUUCUGUUCAACAAGAUUCUGAUUUUUUACAUGGUCAAUUAUCUCCUUAUUUCAGCUUGCUAUAUUAGCUUCAUAUUCAGGAGAUGAGCUGGUGGCCAUUUAUCGGUAUUUCCGGAGUUUAGCUGUUGAUAACCCUUUUUCAACUGCGAGGGAUAACUUGAUUGUAGCAUUUGAGAAGGUAUGAGUGCAAAUUUUAGUUUCUAUUUGGGUUUAGGGUUUUGGACAUUAAUGACAUGGUGGCCUUUUGGAUGUAUUAUGGGUGACAUUUAAUCUGUGCGUUUGUUACAUCUAGACUAAGUUGAUUUGCAUGAACAUUUUGUUAUGUGCAUCUUCAUAAGUACUUGUGGUUUUUUGGAAAAUGAGGAUAAUUGUAAAGUAAACUUUAACCAUGUCUUGGGUGGUAUUCUGCGAAGGUGCUGAUUCUUUGUAGAACAGAUGCCUAGACCUUUCAGUCUAAUGGGAAGAAAUUAUUUAUCCCUCCUUUUGUAGUUAAUUACGUUUCUUAUGAAGAUUAGAAAUGGGGUUUCGUAGAUUGCUGACACAAAAUGUUGCCUGUAGUAGAAGAUAUUGUGUUACCCAUUGAUAUCCAUAGAUUAGCAGAAGCUACAACUUGUCAUAAUGAUAAACUGUUAUCUUAUUCUUUCCAUUAUGGAGUUCUGUGAGAAUUCUUAAUUGUGUUCAAUGACAGUUUUUAUCUUAUUUUCUUUGAGCAUGCUGCUAGUUUAUUGACAGUUCAACUUUUAGGGUUUGCCAGUUUUAUAUAAUUGUUAAGAGUGUGUAAUUAUUUAAUAUUAAAUGUUACUGACUUGAAAGCUGAUUCCGAGUGGGUUUAUUAUUUAUAUGCUAGUAUUGGAACAUGCAUAUGAUUAUGAAAUUGUAUUAAAUAUAUGCAUUACCGUUUGCAGAAUCGCCAUAAUUACUCGCAGCUCCAUGGGGAUGUUAAGGGCCCCUUCAAGGAGCCUGCUGUCCGGCUAUCGGGGAAAGGCAGGGGGAAAUUGGAAGCAAAGCUUGCAUCUAAAGAUGCCAACAUGGAACCAAACCCUGCUAAGGAGAAAGUAUCUGGUGUCCAGGAUAUUUUUAAGUCCUUUUGCAUUCGAUUUGUGCGUCUUAAUGGCAUUCUUUUUACAUGCACAAGGUAUAUUUUUUCAGCAGGCCUCUCACUUUUGUUAUUGACCUAGUCUUUUUGGGGGGUUGUGUCCUUAUCAAUGCUUACUUUGUGCAGCCUGGAGACUUUUGCAGAUGUUCUUACUCGGGUUAGCCGUGAUUUAUGUGCACUUCUCUCUUCUGGGCCAGAAGAGGAACUGAAUUUUGGCACAGGUGCUGCUGAGAAUGCACUUCUCCUUGUUAGGCUGGUUGCCAUUCUCAUAUUUACAGUUCACAAUCUGAAGAGGGAGAGUGAAGGUCAAACAUAUGCUGAAAUUGUACAGCGUGCUGCCCUGCUUCAGAAUGCAUUCACUGCUGUUUUUGAGUUGAUGGGACAUGUAAUAGAGAGAUGUUCACAGCUCCGGGAUGUUUCUUCAAGCUACACUUUACCUUCUAUUUUGGUUUUUUUAGAAUGGCUAGCUUGUUGCCCUGAUAUUGCAGCUGCUGGUAGUGAUGUUGAUGAGAAACAGUCAAUUACUAGAUCUCUUUUCUGGAAACAUUGUGUGUCAUUGCUGAAUAAAAUUUUGUCAAUUAGGCCAAGGUGCAUGGAUGAUGAUGAAGAUGAGACCUGCUUUUUCAAUAUGAGUAGGUAUGAAGGAGAGACUGAAAACCGUCUUGCAUUGUGGGAGAACUUUGAGUUGCGAGGGUUCUUGCCUCUUGCUCCUGCACACUCCAUUUUGGACUUCUCAAGGAAAUGUUCCUUUGUAAGCGAUGGCAAUAAGGAAAGGAAAGCCCGUGUCAAGAGAAUUUUGGCCGCUGGGAAGGCUCUAGCUAAUGUCAUUAGGGUUGAUCAGAAAACUGUUUGUUUUGAUUCAAAAGCUAAGAAAUUUCUUAUUGGUGUUGAGCCAUUUGCAGAUGUCACAGUGAGCUCCGCUACCCCUGUGGUAACGAAUAGUGUGGUGCAUGAAUCCCCCUCUGAAAAUAUAACUAAUAUUGGAAAUGUUCAGCCAAUCCCACAACCUAGAAUGGUUGGUGAAGAAGAUGACGAUGACGAUGAAGUGAUUGUUUUCCAGCCAGCUAUGAAUGAGAAGAGAACUGAGGUGAUGGAUCACAAUCAUCCCCCCUCUGAUAUUUUGAAGCUUGAUCUAAGUAGUUCUGCUGGUGAUCUCAAAUUUUAUGGCAGCACUAUGCCUGCUCCUUAUGAUAGUCUUCACCAGCAUGACACAUUUGAUGCUAGUCAUCCACUUCCUGUAUCUAUUGGUAGUUUUCUCCCUCAGCAUCUGCAGCCUGUUCAGAUGCAUGGAUCUAGGUGGUCAUUAGAAGAAGCUACUUCUCUGGCUAAUAGCUUAAAAGGUUUGAAAAUGUUGGAGAAUGGGCAUUUAACUAAGAGUCAGAUGGAAGAUAAUUUAGGCUUUUCUCAUUCUGCUGCUCAUUCUGUUGCUAUCCAACUGCCCAUCAAUGUUCAUGCUAGUGGUAUGUACUGCAGUCGGACAAAAAUUUCAGAAACUGUGAUGCCAUCCAGAAUUAAUGCUAUUGUGUCAUCUGAAGUUACUGGUGAUGAUUUGGCUGCUAGAACUACCUCAGCUUCACUAGUUGGAAUGCAGAAGAAUCCUAUUAGCCGCCCAGUCAGGCAUCUUGGUCCGCCACCAGGUUUUAGCCCUGUUCCUCUAAAGGCGCUGAAUGAAUCUGUUUCUGCUGUAGAAUUGAGGAACCCUCCGAUGGAUGAUUAUAGUUGGUUGGAUGGACAUCAGUUGGCAUCAUCAUUAGAAGGCUCUAUGCGUGAGAGUUCUCUCUGUUAUUCAUCUCAUGCUGAUCCCCAACAUGUAAAUAACAGAAGCAAUGGCUUCACUGGAACGGUAAGCUUUCCUUUCCCUGGAAAGCAAGCUCCUGCAGUGCAGUUUCAUAUGGAGAAGGAUAAAGGCUGGCAGGACUACAAUACUCUUGAGCAUCAUCAUGAACAGAAAUCGCAUCAACAGCAACCUGUGAAUGGGAACCAGCAGUUUAGCUCACUGCCUGUGCAGUAUCCAGGACAAUCAGCCUGGACAGGUCCUUAUUUUGUGUGAAAUCAAUAUGCAAGUGUAGCUGGUGAGUAGGAACUUCACUCAUUUUCCACCUCUUGGUUUUGUAGUUUGAUUGUAAUGCUUUCUAAAGUCCUUUUCACAACCUGUUCAUCUAGAUUUGUUUUUGUUCUCAAGGUUCUUGAGAAUGGUUACUGUGAAUGUAUUGCUUCCAUUUGCCUGCCAAGUUCAAGUCCAACUUUGAGGCACUGUCAGUGUUGAGUUUUUGAUGGAGCAUGGGAAGCAUUGGCUUCCAGCAGGCACUUGCUGCUAAACAAGUGAGUAUGCACUAUUAUUUUCCUUUUUCAUUUUGUUUGUAUGCACUUGGUGUUCUUAUUUUAGAUCAUUUCCUAGUAACUCUAGCUAAUGGAAGCCACUCUGUAUUUCAUCCACUCUAGUCAUGAAUAUAUAGUUUCCUGUUUAUCUCAACAAAAGUGGGGCGUAUUGUUAGUUUUGCAGAUUUAGCCAGAUUUGUAGAGGAAGAUUGAGGAAAUCAAUCAAUCUUAUGAGAUGCGGAAUUUGUAAGGGAGUAAAUGCCUUAACCAGUCACUUUGGGAUGGAGAUAGAAGGCCUAAAUAAAGCUGAUCUGUUGAUUUUUGAGGCUAUCUAUCUUGAGGAGUUUUGGUGAAAUAAACUUGGUUUAGUAUGCUAUAUAGCUUUCCAAAUGUCUGCCUAUAGAUUGCUGCUUGUAAAAUUCUGCAAGCAGCAGAUGAUAAGAUAUAAAUGAUAUGGUGGCCCAAUUCUCCGCAGAUACUGCUUUGAGAACUCUAGUUGAGAGGUAUAAGAGCAACUUAUCAAUGGAUGAACGGUGGGAGGGAUUGGAAAUACUCGGAACGUGUACUUCUAACAUCUCUCCAUAUUUGGUGGUGAGUAUUGAAUAAAGACUUCAUUUUGUUAUAUAUUUUAGUGACCAGGAAGUGUUGUUUGUUGAAAUUGGGGUUUCAGUCGAAACUACCUCUAUUAUGAAAUACAUAACUAAAUUAAUGAAUGCUUUGGAUAAUUUCUUUGUUUCUGCUUGUUUGGUUACUGUAAUACUACUGAGUUGCUGCCAAUUUCAAACUCAUAAAUAGAUUUUGCACUAAUUAUUUAAUGUGGAUCGUAAAGUAUGUUUUUCUACUGUGUUUAUUGUCAGGAACAUAAAAGUACAAACAUCUUUCAACUUCAACAAGCCUGUGGUGUCACUGUUUAAUGACAAUAGGGGUUUUCAUUUUGGUAUAAAUGAAGUCUUGUAUCCUAACACAAGGUUCUCGUAUCAGAAUUUAUUUUCCUAACCCUUACAGUCGCCAGUGGUACUCUCAGGAAAGGACUCUAGUUGAACAGUAUAGUUCAAUUUUCCAUAAUUCCAUUGCAAGCCCAACAGUUAGUAAAUGUAGUCACUUUUACUUUUGGUGCCCUAACAUCAUAAUUAAUACCUCUCCUCAUGGGACCAUUUUCUUUUUCUUCAUUUCGAAAUAUCAGCUCUCCAAUCUUGAUCCUUUAAAAUCAAAUACAAAGCACUUAGCCUCCAAGGACUAGGACAGAGCCAUUUCUUUAAAACAAAAAAAGAAUGAUUUGGGCAAGAUUUAUUUCAACUAAAUUUUCAAGUAUAUUAAAACUUGCAUGAUUUGAGGCAAGUUCAUGUUGCUUCAAAAUAUUCACAAAAAUAUUUUUCUUUCCACGUUAUAAUUUUUAUAAAAACCUUAUAUGGUUUCAAUUUGUAAAUAUAAAUAUAAAGCAGAGACAGGAUAUGGAUGAGGAAUUUUGCUUUUUAGGAUUGAGAGAGAUGAAACUAAAGUACUAAACAAAAUCAAGUUUAAAUAAUAAUAAAAAACCAUAAAUAGAGUCCAGAACUAUGUGUAAAUAUUCAUUUAUCUUCUAGCUCCAAUAGAAAAAGAAAAUCCAAAUCUGGCAAUCAGAUUUGGAGUUCCAUCCACGUUGGAGGAGUAAUAAGAUGAUAAUCAAUCCACAUACGGUAUAUAUACUAUAUUCACAUCAAUUCAUCAAAUAAUGCGCACUCCUAUUCAACUCAUGAAUUCGUGGCCAUCAAACCAUUUGGCUCCACCAAUUCAAACACUCGCCUAAUAUAAAUAUAUAUAUAUAUAUAUAUAAUCUUCAAAGCAAAUGUAAAAUCGGAAUUCCUCUAUUUUCUAUCAUUCCAACUUCUACCAUUCAAAACCAACUACAAAUUUACCUUUUCAUACAAUAUUAAAUUAUUUAAAUAAAAUUUGAGGAUUGUUUUAGAUAAAAAGAAUAAAGAUAUUUAUGUGGUGUUGUAAAUAUCAAUAACUAAAAUGGUUGAAAUGAAGAAAUGAGGUCGUACGUUGUUCCGAAGAGACAAGGCUCAUAAGUCAUAACUAAAAAGGAGGGCGUUUGGCAGUUGCCUGCACAUGGUUGUUUCUCAUUUCUAACAAGAUUGCCACGUGAUUCUGCAUAUGCGCAUUGACCCCACCUUGCGUUCUAUUUAAUUUCAAUCGUUAAUUUUUUAAAAGCAAAGAUAGGUUCCAUAUCACAUGCAAUAAAUAUUUGGUGCCACGAAUAAAUGUUUGAUGUUACAUAUUAUCAAUCAAGGGAAACCAACUUUUUUGUUUUAUUAUGAUUGAGGCAUUUUGUUGUUUGAUUCACAUCCCCUCUCCUUUGGAUAACUUCUAUUCAUGCAUAUCCUUUCUUUUCCUUCCCAAAUAAAAUUUACUUAUUUUUUUUUACUCUUUCUUUUUCAAGUUUAAUUUUUUACCAGUUAUUAUUUAUAUUAUGAUCGUUUAUACAAUACUUAGGUAACAAGUCAUUUUUUCUUUAUAUUAAUACACUAAAUAAUCAAACGAAACAUAAUCUUCUUUUUGGUAGAUAACAGAUAAAUUAAUUUCAGUAGCACUAGAAAUCGCAUAUUGAACAUCUUUAUGCAACUUCUCCACCAAUAAAUCUGGAGUCUUCUAGAACACUAUAGAACCGUAAAGAAGAUUCCUCAUCAAAGCAGCCAAUUCAUGCGUGACCACAUUAGCCUCCCUUGGAAUUUGUUGGAUGACCACCUGCCAAUAUCAUCUACACAAAGUUUGGAUUCGUAGGGUUAAAUCUCUGUAUGAAACUACUCAUGUAGACGUAUCCAAAAUGACCCCAACAGCUAAAGCACAAUCCAUUUCAAUUAUAAUCUUCUUCCUCUUCGCAUUCCAAUCCAAUAUGAGACCAUCAUAUAUUGUCCAAAAUUCAACUUACUCAACAUCACAUUUUUCAGUGUUCCUCCCGACUCCACCAAAUCAAAUGCCAUGACCAUCUCUCAUCAUUGCUGCUACUAAUGCUAAUUACCCCAAACCUGGAUUAAUCCUUGCGUAGGUUAAGUCAAAGAACUCAUUGGCAUUUGAAAUUAUUAUGCUUCUUUGCCAUCAAAACUUACAAGGAUAGAUUGGAGGUGGAGUUGAAUUAAAUGAAUUUAUAAAUUUAUAAGUCAGAUGAUUCUAAUAACACUUGAUUAAUUUUUAAAGACGUAAAGUUACCGAUAAUGAGAAAAUGGAUGGGAGGCAUGCUAAUUGGUACUGACGGUUUAGUUAAAAUGCAUGCAUGUCUCUUUACGUUAUAUUACAAUUAAUAAAGAUAUCAGCAAUUAGAAGAGUUGAUACUAGACUAGAAUACCGACUACUCCAACUAAAACCUAAUGCCAUUUACAUGUACCCCUGUAAAUCUAUUUUCUUAAAAAUUCAACAUCUCUAUUUUUACCAAAAAUCUUUAAUUGCCACGUACCCCCACAAUUAUGAUCAAUGGACCAAAAGUUAAAAGAGUUGAACAUUUUCUCUCUCUUUUUUGUGUGCGUAAAAAUACCAAAAUAAUUAAGGAUAAAAAGGAAUUGUUGUGGUAGGAGAUGGAUGGUGACAUUUCAAUCAAAUUUGUGAAAUGUAGGGAGGGUUGUCGUGGAUUGAGCAGGCAAUCAAUGAUUCAAGCUCCACCACCCACUAACCUCCCAAAUAUCUUUCCCCUCACACUUCACUCUAAAAUUACAACUUUACUCAAUCCUUCCAUUUAUACCAUAUUUAUUUUAAAAUCCAUUUAAAUAACUCCAAUAAAUAUACUAAACCCAAACACACUUUAACUAAUAAUAAUAUUUUUAAAUAUUAGAUUUAGUAUCCAUAGUUUCAAUAGCAAAUAUCUUUAAUUGUUUUGAGUAAUUACUUAAUGCUCAGCAAACUUACACCACCAACACCUAUAGUCCUAUAUAUACUGCUCACCAAACAGCUGCACAACGCACAGACGCAAAAACAGAAAGAGCAAUGUCUCGGCACAGACGCCAAGCCUCUCGAGUGCUCCCACCGGACCUAAGUCUAACAUGGGAAGGAGACGAGCAGCCACCCAAAUCCACCCACUCCUCCGUCCAACCAAUUGCCACUGCCACUCCCUACGGCUCUAAAGCUACAUCCACUGACACCUCUUCAAAUCCAUCCACAACCAUUCUUCAACAUUACUCUUCCGGAGACCAUUCCCUGCAGUCUCCUCAAAACAACCCUUCUACAACCACCAAACCUUCUUGAAAUGAAACCCCUACUUCUUAUUACUACUUCUUUUCUUUGUAGCAGUGUUGAAGGCUUAUCCUAGUCUUCUUUUUUUCUUCUCAUUUCAUGUGUAUAAUUUGUGUUGGUAAGCUGAAAAAGCUUGACGUUUGAUGUACGUUGUGCCAGGUGUUGCUUAUUUAGCUUCUUGAAUUUGCAAUACUUCUCUGCCUCUUUCUCAAUAGGAUCUUUUUUCUUCUAUUUUUGCGCAUUGUAGGUUUUUCUAUUUCAUGCCAAGAGUAAAUGAUUUUAUUUAAGAAAAAAGAAUCGGAUCACUUUAAUUAAGACAAUGCAUUGAAUACAUGAAUAUCUCCUUUUAGUUUUUAUAAUUUUAUCUAUUUUUUUUUUUACUAUUAACCAUUAAGUUAUAAUAACGACCCUAAUCACACACUUUAUAACUAAAAGAUAGUGAAGUUAGCAUAUUAGAGAAUAUCUUCAGAGUAUUUUAAUUUUGAUUUUUCACCAUGUUAUUUUAAUUAAUUUUAAUCAUAAGUACUAGAGUUUAAGUUCAAUCCCAAACAACCACAUUCUCCUCCUCCAAUUAUAAAAUAUAUAUAUUCGUAAGUGACAAGAGAA
rnacentral:lncRNA from 1 species